UCAAUUAAGUCUUUCUAAUGGAUACAAAUUCCUAAUUGACGGUGCGAUUUUCACAUCCUCUUCCUCUUCCUACUCUUCGAUGAUCCGUCUCCUCUUCACUACCUCCUAUUUCCCCUAGAUUAGAAACCCAGAUUCCUCAUCUACACUCUUCCAUUUCUUUAUAUGCAUAUUCUCUCUAUUACAGUUGGGGACCAAAUCAACACACACAAGAGUGACGACAACGAUGAACCAAAUCAACACACACAAGAGCGACGACAAUGAUGAGCCCCAAAACUCUGGACAUGAGGAAUCAAGUGACGGCAAGUCUCGGCGAUGGUAACUGACUUCAUUCUAUACAUGUGUUGUAGAUUCAAUUCUCAAUUUCACACUUCCCUCUCCUUAAUCAACUUUUUAUGUUGAGGAUUUUAGUUUCUUUAUCUUGAAUUUGAUGUGAAUAUUUUAUCAAUAUUGGGUGUUAUAAUUGUUACUUUGGCUGACUUGGUGCACUUCAAGUGUUUGAAAUAAUAUCGCAUAAAAUUUGUUCUAAAUGUCAUAUAAUGCUUCCUGUUUUACUAGAAAAUACAGUGGUUCAAAUUUAACUUUUGAGAAUAUUAUGUAAAAUUUUGAUUACUACCAGGUGUAAUUUGUUUUGUUAAAUUUUUUAUUCAGAAAGUCUUAGGCUUAAAGGAACAAAAAAGUUUGCCUAUUUUUACUCAUUUUUUUGUGCUCUAGUGCAUCUACGGUCUAUUUCUUUCUUUAUAUAUUCAUUUUUUCACUUAAAUUGUUGUUAUAUGUAGUUGAAUUAACAUACACACAUACAAGGUGCUGGAACUUAAUUGUUUAUGUUUCUUAAAUAUAUUUCUAGUCAUAAAUAUUAUAAAUUUGUGUUUUAUAUAUGUGAAUUCAUGGGAGUGUGUGCUUAUAUAUUGUAGGCAUUCGAAAUUUCUUUUUUCUUUUACUAACUAUGCAGAAGGACAAAAACAUCUUUUUCACACUCCAGUGAUAAACCUGAAGGACUACAACAUCAGUUUCAACCCUAAAGAUAACCUUGGGAGAUCUAGUUUCCAACCCUAGAGAUAACCCCAGGAGAUCAGUUUCUAACCCCGGAGUUAACCCCGGGAGAUUCAGAGUCCAACUCCAAAGAUAACCUGGGGAGAUCAGUUUCUAAUCCUAGAGAUAACCCCGGGGGAUCAAGUUCAAAGCCCGGAGUCAACCCCAGGAGGUCAAACCAACCUCAAAGAUAACCUUGAGGACAAUCAAAGUCAACAGCAGACCAAUCUCCUAGAUAACCCUGAAAAAAAACUGCUAUACCUGCGCUAAAGUCAGAGACAACCCCGUGAAGAACAAAAUGGUCAUUUUCCCCCUCAACAUUAUCUCAACAUUGUUCAAAUCAAACUUCACCAAAAGAUGUCCCAUGUGACGUCCCCAAAUUCAGGUACUUAAAAUCCAAACUUGGUGCUUCACGAUAUCAUUUCUUUGAGCGGCAUAAUACUAAUAAUAAUAACAAUAAUAUAAAUACCAAACUUAAUUUACAUAUACAUCAGAGUCUAAUCCCAAGUACGCAACCUUUAAUAUAUUCAUUACAUGAUAAUUAAUAGAUAUCAUCCUUAUCCUAAUAAAGUCAAACUAUUACAUAAUAUAAUACCAACUUAUUCUGCAACCUUCCCUUUCCCUUUGUUCUUAGCUAAGCCUUCUGGUUGUUCACACUUAGCUGAAAAAAUUUAAAUCAAGCAAGGAUGAACAUUUAAUUGCCCAACAAGUAAUAACAACAAUAAAUAUUAUCUGAAAAGAUUAAAUAUUUUCUUUGAACGACACUUCUACAAUGAUUCAACAGUUAUGAAGUAAGCUAAACCAAUAACAAACAACAUAUCAUUUCGAUUUCAAAAUUUUGAAACUACGUACUGACUAUAAAUGAGGAUCAGUCGACAGACUAUGAACAUUAUUUUCUAUUUUUGAAAAGGUUAAACAGAACUUCAUCUGUAAACUAUCAUAACUUACAGGCACGGGGGUGAUCAGCCCGUUAUGCCCUAUAUUGAUCAAUACUACAUGUUCGAACGAUAUUUUCGUCCAGUAUAUCCGCCUUAGGCGUAUAAAAGUUUUCCAGAUUCGGGAUGUUCAUACUAGUCUAGAAUCUGAACCAAAACAAUUCGGUUGGAUACAAUAAAGUUCUAUCUUAUUCAAUAAUAUUUUUAAAUCUGUGUCUAGCAGAAUCAAAUAGCUUAGAUGGCUUUUAAGUCGAUGUAUACAUACUAGAAACCAAUAAGUAUGUAUCAACAUGUGUUAAAAUAUAAUGAUUAUCCAAGUGAGGACACUUGUAUAACCAUGCUUAGAAACUAACGAACAAAAUAUAUAUCUUGAUUUAUAAUAACAGAAAUAAGGAAAUUAUACAACAUAUUAUAAUCUAAUAACUUAUACAGAAUCAUUGCAUAAGUAUAUACAAAGGUUAAGAUACUUGAACAAUGAAAAAGAAUAGUUCCGAUAUUUGUUUACGCAUGUCCAUUACAUAAAGUAAAUGCAAAGACAAGAUACUUGCUUGAUCUGCUGCUUACACUUAUGCAACUUAGUUUUAUCUUUUAUAUCAAGCCCUAUCAUUAAUAAGAUCAUUUAUUCAAUUAGAAUAAUAUAUCAUAACACAUAGUACUGCUAUUUUCAGUCAGCACAUAACCUAAUCACAUUGACACAUAUGUUUAGCAGUCAUUAGAUCACAAACAAAUACAUAUACCGACAAUAUAUAUAAGUCCAGAUUAAUUUUUGAAAUAUUUCGGUGUACCGACGGCUUUAUCGGGUAAUUAUCGAGUCUAAUACUAUAUCAUGUAGUUUAAUAUAACUUAAACAUCGGUCAAAUUAUUUUUAAAUGACUUAUAAUAAUUUUUAAACAAUUAUUAUAAUUUAUCAUGAUUUUUCAAACACCGAAAUCAUUAUUAAAUGAUUUAAAUAUUAAAUAAUUCUAUUAUCAUUAAUUUUUAAAUAAUAUUAAACUAUUAAUGAAACCAUUGUCAAAAUAUUAAAGUUAUUUAUAAUAACUUAAAAUAUUUUUAAAGUAUUAAUAUUACCCUUAAAUGAUUUUUAAAAUAAUUAAUAUCAUUUUUAAAUAAUUACCAUUAAUAUUUAAAUAUUAAUGCAUUAUUUUUCAAAAUAUUAAAAGUCAUUAAUUAUAAUUUAAAAUAUUUUUAAUUCAUUUAUAUCCUUUUUAAAUAAUUUUUAAAUUAAUAAAAUCAUUUUAAAAUUAUUUAUUUAAUAUAAUUAUUAAAUAAAUCUAAUAUCAUUAGUAUUAAUUUAUUAAUGAAAUUUACCUUUAAAUAUUAAAAGUUAUAUUUUAUAACUUCAAAUAUUUUUAAAUACCUUAUUAUCAUUUAAAAUGACUUUUAAUAUAAUAAAAUCAUUUUAAUUAAUUUAUUUAAUACAUUUAUUAAAUAAAUUAAAUAUCAAUAAUAUUUAAAUAAAUAAUAAUAUUUAUGAAAAAUAUGUCAAAUUAUUAAAAGUUAUUUUUUAUAACUUCAAAUAAUUUUUAAAACUAUUUUUGGAAUUUUUAUAAAUUAAUUACUAUUUUUAAAUAAUUUUUAGAAAAUAAAUUAAAUAAACUGUCACUAUAGCCUUUAGCGUUAGCGACAUAAAGUGUAGCCUUUGGUGUUCUUGGUGCUCAAGAACACCCCAAUGUCAGUUACCAAGUGACCAUGUUUGACCAUCUAUAGCUCUCAGAUCUUGAUGUUUCUGGGAAUGAUUUUCGUCAGAUCAUGUAGAACUAGUGUAAUACUACAAGAUCCAAUAACAAACAUGAUCAAAAAGCAUAACAUGAAAGAGAUCUGAGCAUGAAAAGUGACUGUCAGAGCUGUUCUUCAUUUUCUAGGUUACCUAGAAAUGAAGAACAGUUCAAUUGGCCAUAUUUGGGCUUUCACAACUUGAAAUCUGUGCAAUGAUGUUGUGAUUUAAAAGUUGAAGUGUACAACCAACAUGUAAGAGAGUAGAUCUAUUACACAAAAUCGAUCUAACAACAACAGACUUAACAGUUAUGACUCGGUCAAACCAUGUCAGACGACAUGUUCAUGUGUUUUCUGGGUUACCCAGAAAAUAGAGAACGUGCUCGACUUGGCUAGUUUGACCGACCACUAAAUCCAACCUGUUUAUCAAUUAAGUGGUCUUAAGGAAUGAUAAUGUAGUCUAAACAACAUACUACAACUUAGAUACAACAAAAAUAACAAAGCAACAACAAACAGUAAGAUCAGUGGCCACAAAGUUCUUGUCAGACCGUUUUGGGCAAGAUCUGGGUUACCCAGAUUUUGUCUAGUCAUGGUCGGUCAACGGGGUUUGACCACCCAUAUCAUGCAAUCUGUUCAUGCUCGGAUCUUGAAUCAAGUUCCAGAGUACAGAUCUCAUAACAUACUACAUGAUCGGACCUUUAAACAACAAAAACACAUAACAGACAAAGAUCUAUGAGGUCUGAUAUUCAUUGUCAAACAACUUUUUCAACUGUUUCCAAAUUUGCAAAAACAUCAAUUUUGAGCCUAUAGAUGUUAUGGAUCUAACAUCUAUCAACCCAGAUCAUCAUUAUACACUAUAAAUAACAUGUUUAACACAAAAAACUUAACAUCUAACACAUCAUUAAGGAUAAGAUUUGGUUCUAGGGUUUUAUACCUUAUGAACAAACUUUUGAUUCUUGGCUACUGAUCUGUUAAUGGAGGUAGUGGGGCUUGCUUUUGGGACUGAAAUGCUACUAUAAUUCGUGGGUUUUAGAUAGAGAGAACUUUGGAUGAGUGUUUGCAUAAAAAUGAAGCUUAAAUGUGAUUUUCUCUCUCUCUUGAUCCUUAUAUAUGAUGUAUAUAAUGUGUAUGGCUGAAGUAUAAGGCUGAGAGCUUGAGUUUUCUAGCACAUGGCUAAGCUUAGGGUUGGCCAACAACUCCCAAUAGUCCAAGAUCUACAAGUUAUCUCAAAUAAUGCAAGAGGGGUAUAAUAGUCUUUUGGCUUUUGAUUUUAAUGGCAAUAAAGUAACUUGGCAAACCCUUAGGGUUUAACCCUAAGGUUCCAUAAAUUUUAAUUUUUUCUAGGAUUUCUAAUUAGAACAAAAAUGUGAGACCCCAGAUUUUAUGAACAAAGAUUUAAAUUUCUCGAAUUUUGAAUAUUAUGGUGUGGAUUUGAUAUAAUGUUAUAGUUGUGGUAAUAUUUACAAAUUUUACAAAGUAAACAAAUGGUUAUAUAAUAUUCGAUUGGUCGGGGAAUAUUCGUUUUAACAGAGAAUAUUCGUACGACGGCACAAUCAUUGGUGGAUCCCACAACGGAAGUAUUGUCGUAGUAAGAAAACGACAGAAUUAUCUUUUAUUAAAAAUAACGGCGAAAGUAUUACCGUUAAAACUGUUGAACUACCCGGUAGUAAAAGUAUAGUAAUACGUAUGGUUGCAUAGUAGCACACGGUAUUGAUUAUUGAUGCUUACGUAAGAAGUCACUAGUUAUACUCAAUUAUUGCUACAAUAAUUGCUACAUCAUAUCUCUCAUAUUAUUGAUUCAAUUAUUGUCACAGUAUCAUCUGUAUAAUAUGUUAUAUUAUUAAAUCAAUAAUUGAGACAACAAAGUUAUUCAUAUUAUUAUUUCCAAUAUUGAUAAUGUCUAUAAGUUCUGUCAAGGAGAGGUUUGGUCAUCUAAUUGCGCGCCAAUAAGGAGAAAUCCUUAUCGGAAAGCCCCCUCUUUCCUGGGAACGACCUGAUUGUUAAAUAUUGUGAAUUAUAAUAUUAAUGAUGAAUAAGUUUGUGUUGAUAAAAGAUGAAAUUGAUAGUUCCAUUGUGUUAGGAUUAUUAGUGUUAGUGGAAAUCGACAUUUAUUUCGAUAAUAAUUGAUGUCUGGAAGUUAUCGGGUAAUUAAUUGGAUAAAUGAGCAAUUAAUUGCUAUUAAUUCACAUGAUUAUAACUAUUUGUUCGCAUGUGUGUACUAUUGAUUCACAUUCUUGUACUAUUAGGGGAGUUGGUGCAAGAUUGAUAAUACUUGCAUGACUAAGUUAAAAAUGGAGGUAUAGAUGGAGAUACUAUACUGUAAUUCGUAUUUUCACAUGUCUAGAACUAUUGAUUCACAUGAUUUAUUAUUGAUUCACACAAUUUACUAUUAGGGGAGGUGGUGCAAGUUUGAUAAUACUUGCAGGACUAAAUUAAAAAUUAAGAAAAAGAAGAAGGUAUUAUACUGUAAUAUUUCAAGCCCCAAAAUGUGCAAUUAUUGAAACUAUAUUUUCUUAUAAAUAGAAGCUCAUUCCUUCAUUAUUUUUUACCAAUUUACUAAAGCUAUAGAGCAAUUAUUAUAGAGAGAAAUUAUAGAGAGAAAGAAGAAGAGAAGUCUGCUACCUCACUAUUNNNNNNNNNNNNNNNNNNNNNNNNNNNNNNNNNNNNNNNNNNNNNNNNNNNNNNNNNNNNNNNNNNNNNNNNNNNNNNNNNNNNNNNNNNNNNNNNNNNNAGAUGGCCAAAGCGAACGAACAAUUCAGACAUUGGAAGAUAUGCUGAGAGCAUGUGUCAUGGACUUUAAAGGAAGCUGUGAAGAACAAUUACCAUUGGUGGAAUUUGCUUACAACAACAGUUACCAAGCGAGCAUCGGCAUGCCACCUUACGAGGCAUUGUACGGCAGAAAGUGCAGAACUCCACUGUGCUGGGAUGAAGUCGGUGAAUGCCAAUUGUUAGGACCAGAACUGGUACAACAAACUGCUGACGUUGUUAAACUCAUCAGGACAAGAUUAGUAGCAGCCCAAGACAGACAGAAAAAGUAUGCUGAUCAACACAGACAAGAUCGUGCAUUCGACGUAGGAACUUUUAUAUUCCUAAAAGUUUCUCCUUGGAAGGGGAAAAUUCGUUUCGGUAAAAAGGGAAAGCUAAGCCCGAGGUUUAUUGGACCCUUUGAAGUGCUGCGAAGAGUGGGAGAAGUGGCUUACGAGGUAGCUCUACCUCCAGAGUUAGAAAACAUUCAUAAUGUUUUUCACAUUUCGGUGUUACGACCAUAUAAACCCGACUACAAACAUGUGAUCGAGUAUGAACCAUUACAGUUUGAGAAAGAUUUAUCUUAUGAAGAGGUUCCUAUCCAGAUUGUCGACAGAAAAGAACAAGUGCUCAGGAAUAAAGUGAUACCUUCUGUGAAGGUGAUAUGGAGGAACCACAACGCUGAAGAAGCUACGUGGGAACUNNNNNNNNNNNNNNNNNNNNNNNNNNNNNNNNNNNNNNNNNNNNNNNNNNNNNNNNNNNNNNNNNNNNNNNNNNNNNNNNNNNNNNNNNNNNNNNNNNNNNNNNNNNNNNNNNNNNNNNNNNNNNNNNNNNNNNNNNNNNNNNNNNNNNNNNNNNNNNNNNNNNNNNNNNNNNNNNNNNNNNNNNNNNNNNNNNNNNNNNNNNNNNNNNNNNNNNNNNNNNNNNNNNNNNNNNNNNNNNNNNNNNNNNNNNNNNNNNNNNNNNNNNNNNNNNNNNNNNNNNNNNNNNNNNNNNNNNNNNNNNNNNNNNNNNNNNNNNNNNNNNNNNNNNNNNNNNNNNNNNNNNNNNNNNNNNNNNNNNNNNNNNNNNNNNNNNNNNNNNNNNNNNNNNNNNNNNNNNNNNNNNNNNNNNNNNNNNNNNNNNNNNNNNNNNNNNNNNNNNNNNNNNUAGAGCAAUUAUUAUAGAGAGAAAUUAUAGAGAGAAAGAAGAAGAGAAGUCUGCUACCUCACUAUUUCAGUAUCCAGUUUCUUCUAAGGUAAAGGGUAUUAUUCUUUCGUAUUCAUGAAGAGAGUUAUUUUCUUUCAAUACUCGUAAGGGUUGUUAUUCCAUUCUUUAUUAUUAUGUUGGAAUAACAUGUCUAUGCGAAGUACCGCAUACAUGGUGAAAUUCUUCUGUUAUUUCAUUCUUUAUUAUUCUGUUGGAAUAACUUGUUUGUGCAGUCUAUCGCAUGCAUGGUGAAUUCUGUUGUUAUUCCAUUCUUUAUUAUUCUGUUGAAAUAUCCUGUCUGUGCAGAUUACGCAUGACAUGUUCCAUUCUUUAUUAUUCUGUUAGAAUAUCCUGUCUGUGCGGAUUACGCAUGACCUGGUUCCAUUCUUUAUUAUUCUGUUGAGAAUAAUCUGUCUGUGCGGUCUAUCACAUGCAUUGUGAAUUCGUUUGUUAUUCCAUUCUUUAUUAUUCUGUUGGAAUAACCUGUCUAUGUGGAUUAUCCGCAUGCAUGGUGAAUGAUCCUUCGUAUUCAUUCCUUAUUAAAUUGUGGAAAUGAUCUGUCUACGUGGAUUACCGCAUGGCGAGCGAAAAUCCAUUUACAGUUUCAUAUAUUUUAUUAUACUCAUUUGGUUAAAGUUUUGGCUUCUAUACUCCAUGAAAUUAGUAGAAUAUCCUGGAUAUUUGCGCUUCAUCGAGUAUCUUUUCAUGAAAAUAUUCUUCUGCGCAUUCUUGAAUUUUACUCCACAAAGAAGUAUCAUGUUGACAAUUUGGACGUUUUUGAUUCCUGGAUAAAUUAAAUUAUAAAUCUUUAAAAUUUAUCCUUGAACUUGUUUUAUUGAAUUAUUAUGUCAUUGUCAUCAUCCUCAUGCUUAUAUUGUGAUGAAGGUCAUCUUUGACUUACGUGCAUAGAUGGACUCGGUAUGAUUAUGACCAGGGAUUAUUCGGUAUAGUCAUGACCAUUGAUGAUUUAAUGAAUAUCCUUGGCCCGUAGUGCAUGGAUGAUUCGAUGAUGUGGUUUAUUUAUUAAGCUGAGUCUCAGUGAUAAAAAUUGAUGAAAAUAUUUUAAAUCAUAGAAGAUAGUAGAUAUCAUGCUCUACUUGACUCUUCUAAUGUAUUAUUUAUUCCGCUGCAGUUAAACUUGAUGUCUAUUGUAUUUUAUCAGUUUAACAUUGUUGAAGACUAAUGAUAAUUUAUUCUGCAUUAUCUUAGUCAUAAUAUUUCUUAAUGGGCUAGUUGAGCUCACCCGUUUGCUUUCAUUGUUCUCUUCAGGAAAUGAGAACGUAGCCGGGACUAGUCGGGGAACGGAGUGAUGGUCCAGGAUAAAUGGUUUUAGUAGUCCUCACUAUUCUACGGAAUAAUGUGAUAAUAAUUGUAAUGAGGAUACCAUUGAGAGUGGAUAUUGUCUAGAAGGAAAUAUUCCUGUUUAAACUCUCAGCUAUGUUUUGUCGUAUAUUACACGACGGUUGUAUAAUUAAGUUUGUAUUUGUAUUCUGUACCAUGUAUCUGGCGACUCAAGAUGGGCGAUGUAUACCUGUUUUGGGGGUGUCACAGUUGGUAUCAAAGCUUAGGGAUAUGAUCCCUGGCUGAGAUGUGAGACUAGAACUAGGAGGGGAGAGACGGGUAAUUCCUUCGCUAGUUUGACCUACCUAAGUUAUUUGUUAUUGAAUUGGUCGGUCAGAGUAUAGGGAUAAUAUGUGACAUGUCAAUUAACCCUUGAUUUGUGACAGUGUUUGAAAAUGACAUCUAAAAAUGUUGAGAUCAUCAAUGAAGCACAUGAGACCGUUGAGUCACCAACGAUCAAUACCCAGGAUAAUGUGCAACAGGAAGAUAAUAAUCCUCAGGUAAACAACAACACGAUAAUAAUCGUACCGGUGACAAUGGUCAUCGGAAUAAUGAUAACCAUCGUGGGGGAAAUUAUCAUGCCAAGAAUGGUAACCACUUCGGUGGUAAUCAUGGCCAAGAUAAUAAAAGUGGAAAAUUCAAGAAGAGAAUAUUUAACGAUGAUGGGAAUACAUCGGUAGCAGCACCAAUAACUGCUUUCAAGGAAGGAGAACGACCGCCAGUUAGAUGCUAUAGAUGCGGAGAGGAGGGACACAUAAGUCCAAACUGUUCACAGCUUUUCAAGGUAUGUUUUAGUUGUGGAAAAGACGGUCACAUAGCUCGAUUUUGUCGUGAACCAAAGUCAAGUCCAGUUGGGACGGUGGCACCAAAGGCGGAUACGGACAAAAUAAAGUCGGUAGUUUCAGGAAGAGCAUUUUUCGUGACUUCUCAAAAAGAGAGUAACCCGAACGAAGUUAGCACGGGUUAGUUAAUUAUAAAUUCUUGCGAAGUCUAUACCUUAUUAGAUAUCGGUUCUACCCAUUCUUUUAUCUCUCUUGCUUGUGCUCAAUGUUUAAAUUUAACUCUAGAGAAGUUAGACUUUGACUUAUCGAUUGAAACUUCGUUAGGAGAAACCUUCAUUUCAUGUGAUAUCCAAGUCUUGGAUGAGAGUCACAAUUUUUAAAUGAUAUUUCUAUCAUUAAUAAAUUUUCUGACGUAUUCUCUAAAGACUUCUUAGCCUAACCCUAGAGCGUGAAAUCGAAUUUUGUAUUGACCCCAGUACAAAACCCAUUUCUUCAACCCUUAAAUAUUUCUUCAACCAAAACGAACGUAUAAUGCGCCAAAGACGUUGGCUCGAGCGGUUGAAGAUUACGACCAUACCAUUCAAUAUCAUUGUGGAAGAGCGAACGUGGUAGCUGACGUAUUGAGUAGAAGAUCGUAUGCGUUUACAAGUGCGAUGUUGUUAACACAAAAACCCAUUUCGUAAAACUUACAAAUGAUGAAAAUAGAGUCAAAGACUCUAGAGACCCACGUGAAGAUAGCGAAUAUACGAUUAGAAUCGACUUUAAUCGAUAAAGGUAAAACCACUCAAACUACACACCUGGAGCUGUUGAAUAUGAAGAAGAAGGUUCAAGAAGGCAUUAUUCUAGAAGUAAGAGUCGAUGAAUAGAGGAAAUCUCAACCCUCAAUUUAAUUGGCCCAUUUGAAAUCCUCGAUCGAGUAGGAACUGUGGCCUAUAGAAUCGUUUUACCGCCAAGUAUGUCGCGUGUUCAUAACGUUUUUUUACGUAUCGAUAUUACGUAAAUAUGUGGACGACCCGAACCACAUUUGUGAGACCCCGAAUUUUAUGAAAUAAAAGUAUUCAAUUUUUUAAUUUAGUGAAUAGUUAAAUUGAUAAAAGUUUAAAGUUAAGGGUGACAUUUGAAAAUUUUUCAAAGUAAGUGAUGAUGAAGUAUUGUUUUAUUAGUAUUAUUAAUGUAAUAAAACAUAAAUGCUUUUUAUAUAAAACAGAAUACUUUUAUAAAGUUAUUCAUUUUAUUAGGCUAAUAGUAAAAUCUUUUUAUAUAAAAUAGAAUACUUUUAUAAAGUUAUCUGUUUUAUUAGAUAAUAAUUAGAAUAUAUUAUAUUUUAUUAUGCAUAGUAUUUGUAUAGUGUCUGCAUAGUGUUUGCAUAGUAAAAUCUUUUUAAAAGUUAUUCAUUUUAUUAGAUUAUAAAUAGAAUAUAUUAUAUUUUAUUGUAAACCAAUCUGGACCGUCCGUUUAAAAGUGAAUCAAUCUGGACCGUUCAUGGAUUAGUUACUAUUCAGUCCAUUCUUCUAUAAAUAGAAGCUCAUUCCUUCAUUAUUUCUUACGAAUUCACUGAAACUCUAGAGAGAGAAACUAUAGAGAGUGUUAUUCUUCUAUAAUCUUGAGCGUAUUUCUUUAGAGUUUAAGAAAUCUUUGAGCAUAGUGUAAGUUUUCUAUGAGUAUAUCCUCGCCCUACCAGUCGGAGUACGUACUCUUCUUUCAAAGGUAAGGGAUAUUAUUUGUUGUACCUGUAAGGGGUAUUAUUUCUUUUGUAUUCAUGAAGAGAACUUCUGUUAUUCCAUUCUUUAUUAUUAUGUUGGAAUAACCUGUUUAUGCGAAGUACCGCAUACAUGGUGAAAUUCUUCUAUUAUUCCGUUCUUUAUUAUUCUGUCGAAAUAUCCAGUCUGUGCGUUUACGCCGGACCUGGUUCCAUUAUCUAUCGUACGCAUGGUGAAUCCUUCUGUUAUUCCAUUUUUUAUUAUUUUGUUGGAAUAACCUGUUUAUGUGGAUUACCACAUGCAUGGUGAACGAUCCUUUGUAUUCAUUCCUUAUUAAAUUGUGGAAAUGAUCUGUUUACGUUGAUUAUGAUGAGAGUCAUAAUAAAAGCAUUGGACUGAUGAAAAUCAUGAGUAUAUGAAGUAUUAGUAAGUGUUAUGAUGAGUUAUGUUGGUUAUUAUGAGAAAACAUGAAAGUUUCUUAGAAAUCACAAACGGUUGAAAAUCAGAUUUUGGUGAAAAUGGAACAUGAAAUUCAAUUGACCAUAUCUCUUAUUAUAUUUUGAAUUUUUGGGUGUGGUCAAGUUCUAGAGUUAGAUCUAUGAGUUUCCUAACUUAUCCAAGUGGAAUCACUGGAAAAGGUGUUGUAGAUUUUCGUGUGGACUGUUUUUACCAAAGGAGUCAAAAGCUGCAAAAGAGAAAAAUGCUACUGUCCAGAUUUUAAAAGGGCUGUUUCGGCCACUUAAUUUGUGAGAAAAAUUCUGGCCUUUUGGGAUACGAAAAUAUAUGGUAUAAAGUACCUCCUGUCCAAAAAUGAGCUCAUUCCGACUUAAAAUGAGCAAGUUAUGACUAUUUCAAUAUUUAGGUUUUUUCGACGAAAAACGCUAUAACCGGAGUUCUAUAACUCUGAUGACGAUGAAAUUUAAACUGGAAGCUCACGUCAACAUGUGUAAGAUCUUGCGAAGAUUUGGAAAUUUCUGGAGUUAACCUUGAGGUAGCUAAUUUCUUAAGGAAUUAAUUAGAAAUUAAUUUUUGAAAAAUAGUAAAUGAAUUUUAAAAAUUUCGAGAAAAAUAUAUGUUCAAUAUGUGACUAUAUUCUGUUAAAUUCUAGAAAAGAAAUACUUUUGGGAAUGAUAUGGUAUUUUUCAUGAAAAUAAUUUAGUUACAAACAUAUGAGUUAAAUAUGUUAUGUGAAGUAACAAAGUUGGAAAAUAGGAUUUUAUGGGUAUAUGCAUAUUUUUGAUGAGGGAUUUAAUCAUUGGUAAUGAAAUCUUAUGAGUAUGACAUUUUUGAAUGAUUAAAUACAUUAUUUGGUAAAAUGUAAACAACUGAAAUAAAUUGUUUAUAAGUUUAAGAAGUGAUUAAAAUAUUGUUAUGAUAUUAAUAAUAUUAUAUUAUGAGUGGAUGAUAGUAUUUGGAUAAAUUUAAAGUCUUUAAUAUUUAUCCUUAUUUUCGUUUGAUUAAUACUUAUAUCAUUGUCAUCAUCCUCAUGUAUAUAUUAUGUUGAAAGUCAUCUAUGGCCUGUAGUGCAUAGAUGGACUUGGUAUGAUUAUGACCAGGGAUUAUUUGGUAUAAUCAUGACCGUAAUGUUACAAAUGAUGUGAAAAAAGUCCUCCUUGACCGUAGUGCAUUGAUCGACAGUUUUUGGUAUGAUUAUGACUAUGGAUUCUCUUUGGCCAAGGGUGCAAAGAUGAAUUAUUUUAUGGCAUGAUCAGGACCGUUGAUGAAAACACGAUUAUCUUUGGCCCGUGGUGCAUAGAUAAUUUGUGGUCGUGAUACUAAAAGAAUAUCCUUAGCCUAUAGUGCAGGGAUGAAUUGAUGAUGUGGAUUAAUUAUUGAGUUGAGUCUCAGCAAUGAAAUAUUAAUUCAUAGAUGUGAUAAUAAUGAAUAUCCUUAGCCGUAGUGCAUGGAUAAUUCAUGGAUGUGAUAUUAACGAAUAUCCAUGGCCGUAGUGCAGUAGUGAUUCGAUGAUGUGAAUUAUUUAUUAAGCUGAGUCUCAGCGAUAAAAUAUUGAUAAUAAACUUUUAAAUUCGUAAAAGAUAGUAAAUAUCAUGCUCUACUUGAUUCUUCUAAAAUACAGUUGUAUGUCUUUGGUCUGUAGUGCAAAGAUGAAUUGCUAAUGAAUAUCUUUGGUCAUAGUGCAAAGGUGAAUUUAUUAGUAUGAUUAUGAGCAAGGAUGUGAUUUGGUAUAACCAUGAUUUUUGAUGUUUCAGGUGAAGAUAGUUGAUGAAAAUUAUCUUCGUUCUGGGUGCGAAAAGGAAUUCAGAAUCACAAUUAUGAUUAUGAGUUAUUCAUAUGAUUGUGGACAGGAAUUGUUGAGUGAUGUUACAGGGAUAAAAUAUUAUUGGUGGACUUUUAACAUGGAGAAGAUAAUAGACCUAGUGGUCUAUUUGACUCUUUUAAUGGAUUGCUCGUUCCACUGCAACUAUGGUUGAAAAGUUUUAUCAUCUACAAUAUGUUCUAAAUCUCUAAUUUAUUAUUGACAAAAGCUAUUGAUAAUUUAAUUAUCUUUAGUUUUUAUAUUCUUUACUGGGCUAGUUGUGCUCACCCUUUUGCUUCACAAUUCCUUUCAGGUAAUAAGAGUGUAGCUGGGUCGAGCGGGGAUAACAGGGGAAUAGAACGGUGGUCUAUAGCUGUUGAGGUUCUCCCUAAAUAGUAUGAAAAUAAUUUUAUUAAGAACUUUAGAUAAGUGUGUCAUAUUGUAUACGUCAUUUGAUAUUUAAUUUUGGUGAACCAAAUAGGGUGAGGUGAACCCAACUUUGGAAGGGUGUUUUGUCACUAUCAUACCAGAUGUCUAAUGGCAUACAACCUCUGGUUAUCAUAAGACAUGGUUGUGCACACCCACUUGUUGAGUAUAUCUACGAGCACUACUUAUAUGAUCUUGGAGUUUAUUUGAAAUAUAAUUUUAACUUGGAGACAGUGGAGAUAGUUAUAUGUCAAGAGAAGACUCACCAUUGGAAGAAACAUGAUAGUAAUCUUUUCGUUUUUCUUUGGGGUCUAUUGGGUCAACCAAGGAUAAUUCUCUGGAUAUAUGAUAUCUGUCAUAACUUAGAUUCAUGGUCUCCUAUGUACGGAGGUUUCCUUGAGCACUUUCCAAAGAUUUUAAUUUCUAAAACAGUUUUUGAUUGUAUUUUUAUGUAAAGCACCAUUGUAAGGUUGUGGUCAAGGCACCAUUAAAGUUACAUAUAUUUGUAUUAAAACUCACAGUAUACAUGUCGUCGUAUUCUGUACGACAGUUCAACAGUUGGAUAAAUGAAGUUGUAUUUGAUUUUUAUAGUGUUAUAUCUGACGAUCCAAGAUGGGUGAUGUAUACCUAUUUUGGGGGCAUCACAUUUGGUCCGAAAAGAAAGCAAGGUAUUCUCAUCUCUUCGAAAUACCAGGAACGUACGUAAAUUUCGAGGGCGAAAUUUCAUAAGGAGGGGAGAUUGUGAGACCCCGAAUUUUAUGAAAUAAAAGUAUUCAAUUUUUUUAUUUUGGUGAAUAGUUAAAUUGAUAAAAGUUUAAAGUUAAGGGUGACAUUUGAAAUUUUUUCAAAAUAAGUGAUGAUGAAGUUUUGUUUUAUUAGUAUUAUUAAUAUAAUAAAACAGAAAUACUUUUUAUAUAAAACAGAAUACUUUUAUAAAGUUAUUCGUUUUAUUAGGCUAAUUAAUAGUAAAAUCUUUUUAUAUAAAACAGAAUACUUUUAUAAAGUUAUCUGUUUUAUUAGACAAUAAUUAGAAUAUAUUAUAUUUUAUUAUGCAUAGUAUUUGCAUAGUGUCUGCAUAGUGUUUGCAUAGUAAAUUUUUUUUAUAUAAAACAGCAUACUUUUAUAAAGUUAUUCAUUUUAUUAGAUUAUAAAUAGAAUAUAAUAUAUUUUAUUGUAAACCAAUCUGGACCGUCCGUUUAAAAGUGAAUCAAUCUGGACCGUUCAUGGAUUAGUUACUAUUCAGUCCAUUCUUUUAUAAAUAGAAACUCAUUCCUUCAUUAUUUCUUACGAAUUCACUGAAACUCUAGAGAGAGAAACUAUAGAGAGUUUUUCUUUUAUAAUCUUGAGCGUAUUUCUGUAGAGUUUAAGAAAGCUUUGAGCAUAGUGCAAGUUUUCUUCGAGUAUAUCCUCGCCCUACCAGUCGAAGUACGUACUCUUCUUUCAAAGGUAAGGGAUAUUAUUUGUUGUACCUGUAAGGGGUAUUAUUUUUUUUGUAUUCAUGAAUAGAACUUCUGUUAUUUCAUUCUUUAUUAUUAUGUUGGAAUAACCUGUUUAUGCGAAGUACCGCAUACAUGGUGAAAUUCUUAUAUUAUUCCGUUCUUUAUUAUUCUGUCGGAAUAUCCAGUCUGAGCGUUUACGCCGGACCUUGUUCCAUUAUUUAUUAUUCUGUUGGAAUAUCCCGUCUGUGCGUUUACCCCGUACCUGGUUCCAUUAUUUAUUAUUCUGUUGGAAUAACCUGUCUGUGCGAUCUAUCGCGUGCAUGGUAAUUUCUGUUGUUAUUCCAUUCUUUAUUAUUCUGUCGGAAUAUCUUGUCUGUGUGUUUACGCCGGACCUGGUUCCAUUAUUUAUUAUUCUGUUGGGAAUAAUCUUUCUGUGUAGUCUAUCGCAUGCAUGGUGAAUCCUUCUGUUAUUUCAUUUUUUAUUAUUCUGUUGGAAUAACCUGUCUAUGUGGAUUACCACAUGCAUGGUGAAUGAUCCUUUGUAUUUAUUCCUUAUUAAAUUGUGGAAAUGAUCUGUUUACGUUGAUUAUGAUGAGAGUCAUAAUAAAAGCAUUGGACUGAUGAAAAUCAUGAGUAUAUGAAGUAUUAGUAAGUGUUAUGAUGAGUUAUGUUGGUUAUGAGAAAACAUGAAAGUUUCUUAGAAAUCACAAAGGGUUGAAAAUCAAAUUUUGGUGAAAAUGGAACAUGAAAUUCAAUUGACCAUAUCUCUUAUUAUAUUUUGAAUUUUUGGGUGUGGUCAAGUUCUAGAGCUAGAUCUAUGAGUUUUCUAACUUAUCCAAGUGGAAUCAUUGAAAAAGGUGUUGUAGAUUUUCGUGUGGACUAUUUUUACCAAAAGAGUCAAAAGUUGCAAAAGAGAAAAAUGCUACUGUCCAGAUUUUAAAAGGGCUGUUUCGGACACUUAAUUUGUGAGAAAAAUUUUGGCCUUUUGGGACAUGAAAAUAUAUGGUAUAAAGUACCUCCUGUCCAAAAAUGAGCUCAUUCCGACUUAAAAUGAGCAAGUUAUGACCAUUUCAAUAUUUAGGUUUUUCCGACGAAAAAUGCUAUAACCGGAGUUCUAUAACUUCGAUGACCAUGAAAUUUAAACUGGAAGCUCACGUUAACAUGGGUAAGAUCCUGCCAAGAUUUGAGAAUUUCUGGAGUUAAACUUGAGGUAGCUAAAUUUCUUAAGGAAUUAAUUAAAAAUUGAUUUUUGAAAAAUAGUAAAUGAAUUUUAAAAAUUCUGAGAAAAAUAUAUGUUCAUAAUGGGACUAUAUUCUACUAAAUUCUAAAAAAGAAAUAUUUUUGGGACUGAUUUGUUAUUUUUCAUGAAAAUGGUUUAGUUACGAACAUAUGAGUUAAAUAUGUUAUGUGAAGUAACAAAGUUGGAAAAUAGAAUUUUAUGGCUUAGAAAUCCUAUAUAAGGUAUAUGCAGAUUUUUGAUGAGGGAUUUAAUUAUUGGUGAUGAAAUCUUAUGUGUAUGGCAUUUUUGAAUGAUUAAAUGCAUUAUUUGGUAAAGUGUAAACAAUUAAAAUAAAUUGUUUAUAAGUUUAAGAAGUGAUUAAAAUAUUGUUAUGAUAUUAAUAAUAUUAGAUUAUGAGUGGUGGAUAAUAUUUGGAUAAAUUUAAAGUCUUUAAUAUUUAUUCUUGUUUUCGUUUGAUUAAUACUUAUAUCAUUGUCAUCAUCCUCAUGUAUAUAUUAUGUUGAAAGUCAUCUGUGGCCUGUAGUGCAUAGAUGGACUUGGUAUGAUUAUGACCAGGGAUUAUUCGGUAUAAUCAUGAUCGUAAUGUUACAAAUGAUAUGGAAAAAGUCCUCGUUGGUCGUAGUGCAUUGAUGGACAGUUUUUGGUAUGAUUAUGGCUAUGGAUUUUCUUCGGUCAAGGGUGCAAAGACGAAUUGUUUUACGGCAUGAUCAGGACCGUUGAUGAAAACACGAUUAUCUUUGGCCCGUAGUGCGUGGAUAAUUCGUGGUCGUGAUACUAAAAGAAUGUCCUUGGCCUAUAGUUCAGGGAUGAAUUGAUGAUGUGGAUUAAUUAUUGAGCUGAGUCUCAGCAAUGAAAUAUUAAUUCAUGGAUGUGAUAAUAAUGAAUAUCCUUGGCCGUAGUGAAGGGGUGAUUCGAUGAUGUGGAUUAUUUAUUAAGCUGAGUCUCAGCGAUAAAAUAUUGAUAAUAAGCUUUUAAAUUCGUAGAAGAUAGUAGAUAUUAUGCUCUACUUGACUUUUCUAAAGUACAGUUGUAUGUCUUUGGCCUGUAGUGCAAAAGAUGAAUUGUUAAUGAAUAUCUUUGGCCGUAGUGUAAAGAUGAAUUUAUUAGUAUGAUUAUGAGCAGGGAUUGUGAUUAGGUAUAACCAUGAUUUUUAAUGUUUUAGGUGAAGAUAGGUGAUAAAAAUUAUCUUCGUCCUGGGUGCGAAAAGGAAUUCAGAAUCACAAUUAUGAUUAUGAGUUAUUCAUAUGAUUGUGGACAAGAAUUGUUGAUUGAUGUUACAUGGAUAAAAUAUUAUUGGUGGACUUUUAACACGUAGAAGAUAAUAGACCUAAUGGUCUAUUUGACUCUUUUAAUGGAUAGCUCGUUCCGCUGCAACUAUGGUUGAAAAGUUUUAUCAUAUACCAUAUGUUCUAAAUCUCUGAUUUAUUAUUGACAAAAGCUAUUGAUAAUUUAAUUAUCUUUAGUUAUGAUAUUCUUUACUGGGCUAGUUGUGCUCACCCUUUUGCUUCACAAUUCCUUUCAGGUAAUAAGAGUGUAGCUGGGUCAAGCGGGGAUAACAGGGGAAUAGAACGGUGGUCUAUAGUUGUUGAGGUUCUCCCUAAAUAGUAUGGAAAUAAUUUUAUUGAGAAUUUUAGAUAAGUGUGUUGUAUUGUAUAUGUCAUUUGAUAUUUAAUUUUGGUGAACCAAAUAGGGUGAGGCGAACCCAACUUUUGGAAGGGUGUUUUGUCACUAUUAUACCAAAUGUCUAAUGGCAUACAACCUCGGGUUAUCAUAAGACAGGGUUGUGUACACUCACUUGCUGAGUAUAUCUACGAGCACUACCUAUAUGAUCUUGGAGUUUAUUUGAAAUAUAAUUUUCACUUGGAGACAGUGGAGAUAGUUAUAUGUUAAGAGAAGACUCACCAUUGGAAGGAACAUGAUAGUAAUCUUCUCGUUUUUCUUUGGGGUUUAUUGGGUCAACCAAGGAUAAUUCUCUGGACAUAUGAUAUCUGUCAUAACUUAGAUUCAUGGUUUCCUAUGUACGAAGGUUUCCUUGAGCACUUUCCAAAGAUUUUAAUUUUUAAAACAGUUUUUGAUUGUACCUUUAUGUAAGGUGAAAUUGUGACAUGAUUCAGAGUUGGUAUAUGUAUUUGUAUUUAAACUCACAGUAUACAUGUCGUCGUAUUUUGCGCGACAGUUGUAUAAAUGAAGUUGUAAAUGAUUUUUAUAGUGUAUUUUAUGGCGACUCAGAAUGGGUCGUGUAUACCUAUUUUGGGGGCGUCACAGCAUUAUUGAUUUAGAAUCGGACGAUAUAGUAGAAGAUUUAACGUAUGAGGAGAUACAUGUUAAAAUAUUGGAUAAGAAGGAUCACAUUCGAAACUGAAAUGUUAUACCUCAAGAGUUAGAAUUUGAAAUGAAGUAGAGAUAUCCUCACAUCUUUGGCAUGCCAGGUACGUACGUAAAUUUCAUAAGGAGGGGAGAUUGUGAGACUCCAUAUUUUAUGAAUAAAUAUUUACAUUUCUCGAAAUAUUUUUUUGAAUAUUAUGGUGUGGAUUUGAUAUAAUGUUAUAGUAGUGGGUAAUAUUUUCAAAUUUUGCAAAGUAAGCAAGUGGUUAUAUAAUAUUCAAUUGGUUGGGGAAUAUUAGUUUUAACAGAGAAUAUUCGUACGAUGACACAAUAUUGGUGGACCCCAGAACAGAAGUAUUAUCGUAGUAAGAAAACGACAGAUUUAUCUUUUAUUAAAAAUAACGGCGAAAGUGUUACCGUUAAAACUGUUGAACUACCCGGUAGUAAAAGUACAAUAAUACGCGUGGUUGCAUAAUAGCACACGGUAUUGAUUAUUGAUACUUACGUAAGAAGUCACUCAGUUAUACUCAAUUAUUACUACAGUAAUUGUUGCAUCAUAUCUCUCAUAUUAUUGAUUCAAUUAUUGUUACAUUAUCAUCUGUAUAAUAUAUUAUAUUAUUAAAUCAAUAAUUUUGACGGCAAAGUUAUUCAUAUUAUUAUUUGCAAUAUUGACAAUGUCUAGAAGUUCUGUCAAGGAGAAAUCCUUAUCGGAAAGCCCCCUCUUUCUUGGGAACGACCUGGUUGUUAAAUAUUGUGAAUUAUAAUAUUAAUGACGAAUAAAUUCGUAUUGAUUAAAGAUGAAAUUGAUAGUUCCAUUGUGUUGGGAUUAUUAGUUUUAGUGGAAAUUGACAUUUAUUUCGAUAAUAAUUGAUGUUUGAAAGUUAUCGGGUAAUUAAUCGGAUAAAUGAGCAAUUAAUUGCUAUUAAUUCACAUGAUUAUAACUAUUUGUUCACGUGUGUGUACUAUUGAUUCACAUUCUUGUACUAUUAGGGGAGUUGGUGCAAGAUUGAUAAUACUUGCAUGACUAAGUUAAAAAUAAAGGUAUAGAUGGAGGUACUAUAUUGUAAUUCGUAUUUUCACAUGUCUAGAACUAUUGAUUCACAUGAUUUACUAUUAGGGGAGGUGGUGCAAGUUUGAUAAUACUUGCAGGACUAAAUUAAAAAUGAAGAAAAAGAGGAAGGUAUUAUACUGUAAUAUUUCGAGCCCCAAAAUGUGCAAUUAUUGAAACUAUAUUUUCCUAUAAAUAGAAGCUCAUUCUUCCUUCAUUUCUCACCAAUUCACUAAAGCUAUAGAGCAAUUAUUAUAGAGAGAAAUUAUAGAGAGAAAGAAGAAGAGAAGUCUGCUACCUCACUAUUCCAUUAUCCAAUUUCUUCUAAGGUAAGGGGUAUUAUUCUUUCGUAUUCAUGAAGAGAGUUAUUUUCUUUCAAUACUCGUAAGGGUUGUUAUUCCAUUCUUUAUUAUUAUGUUGGAAUAACCUGUCUAUGCGAAGUACCGCAUACAUGGUGAAAUUCUUUUGUUAUUCAAUUCUUUAUGAUGUGGUUUAUUUAUUAAGCUGAGUCUCAGUGAUAAAAAUUGAUGAAAAUAUUUUAAAUCAUAGAAGAUAGUAGAUAUCAUGCUCUACUUGACUCUUCUAAUGUAUUAUUUAUUCCGCUGCAGUUAAACUUGAUGUCUAUUGUAUUUUAUCAGUUUAACAUUGUUGAAGACUAAUGAUAAUUUAUUCUGCAUUAUCUUAGUCAUAAUAUUUCUUAAUGGGCUAGUUGAGCUCACCCAUUUGCUUUCAUUGUUCUCUUCAGGAAAUGAGAACGUAGCCGGGACUAGUCGGGGAACAGAGUGAUGGUCCAGGAUAAAUGGUUUUAGUAGUCCUCACUAUUCUACGGAAUAAUGUGAUAAUAAUUGUAAUGAGGACACCAUUGAGAGUGGAUAUUGUCUAGAAGGCAAUAUUCCUGUUUAAACUCUCAGCUAUGUUUUGUCGUAUAUUACACGACGGUUGUAUAAUUAAGUUUGUAUUUGUAUUCUGUAUCAUGUAUCUGGCGACUCAAGAUGGGUGAUGUAUACCUGUUUUGGAGGCGUCACAAAAAAUAUAAAAUUUUAGUUUCUCAAAAUGAAAACUAGGGUUUCUAAAUCAUGUUUAAUUUCCUAAUUACAUAGAACAUGGUAUUUGGGUUUAAGAUUCACAAAUUAUAAUUAAGAUUACUAAUUUAGUAAUUAGGGCUUACAAUUAGCAAUUAUUUUUUUUUUAAUUUUAGGAUCUAGGGUUCUUAAUUUUGACAAUUAGGGUUAUCAAUUUGUAAUUAGGGUUUUCUAAGUAAUAAUUAGAAUUUUCCUAAUUAAUAUUUAGCUUUAUAAUUUAGCCAUUAGGUUCUAGUUUAGUAAUUAGGGUUUCUAAUUUAGAAAUUAGGGUUUCUAAAUAUUAAUUAUAGUUUUCCUAAUUAACAUUAAAUUCUAAAGUACACAUAAUUUAUCUCAUAACAGAGUUACAAAAUAGUUUUGAACUCGUAUUUGAGUUUUAAACUAGGGUUUAACACAACAUUGCUAGGGUUUUCUAAUAUUAUACCAUAAUUGACCAACCAUUAUCAGUCUAUACAUACAGUACAUAUUUAUAGCACUGAAAUAAAAAUAAUAUUAUAUUAUUAUUCUCAUUCCUUGAUCAAAAUCCAGAAUUAGGGUUUGGAUUUCAUAUUUGAUUUACCUUGCAUAUAUAUCAUUACUAAUUAAGUUAAAAUAAUUAACUUAAUAAUCUGAACUAAAAUUCGUAUAAUAAAAUAAUUAUUAUAAUAAUUCUAAUAAUUAUUCCAUAUAUUAUUAAAUAAUAUAUAAACAUAUUUUCAUGAAAAAUAAGUAAUAAAAAUAUUUUUAUUACCAAUUUAAUUUAUUAUAAGAUUAUAAUUUAUAAUGAUUUAUAAUUCUAAAAAAAUUAUUUAUGUAAUAAAUAAAUUUUAUUUAUCACACACACACACACACAUACACACACACACACACACACACACACACACACACACACAUAUAUAUAUAUAUAUAUAUAUAUAUAUAUAUAUAUAUAUAUAUAUAUAUAUAUAUACACUUUACUUUACUUGGAUCAUAUAUUCCCACCUUUAAAAUAAAUAAAUAAAAAUUAUACGCAAAAUUUUUGAUUUAAUUAUAUAAAAAAUAUCGGGUUGUUACAUUCACCCUCCCUUAUAAAGAUUCCGUCCCCGGAAUCACCAUUUAAAAACUUAUACGUAUAAGGGUAUAUAACAUACACAGUCAUUUCAAGUAGAUCUCGAUCAGAUUCGAUUGAACCGAUCUUUAAUUAUUCAACAUAAAGCUUGUCUAUCUGAUUAAACGGAAAUUUGAUUUCUAAAAGAACUCAAAUUCUUCCUUCAAAAUUUCUUUAUAAAAUAAUUUGCUAUAUAUAAGAAAAUCAUGUAUAAGAAAAUAAAAGUUAUAUGAAUAAUACAUGGAGUUCCAUCACUAGUUGCCACAGUAUCCUGGACCGUCAUGUUGAAGACUCUUGCGGUUGAUUUUGUCGGCCUGUUUGAUGAAGUUGGUCCGGUGAUCGCCAGAGUCCUGCUGCCUUUCCCAAUAUUUAUGCUUCCUGCCUCCAUUCUCCUUUUUGGACAGUCCUUAACCUUAUGUUCCGUCGAUCAGCAUAGAAAACACUCACUAUUCAUUCUAAGAUUAGGGGAAUUGGGAGAGAUAUGACCCUCCUGCCCGCAUUAGUAACACACAAAUUUUCCUUUUAGACACUCGUCCGAGUGAUUCUUCCCACAAUUCUUACACUAAACAACCUGUUUCUUCACACCUUCCUGUUUCACCUAAACAUUCCCAAAGUUUCUCUCUUUUCUCUUGCCAUUACCACUCCUACUUCCACUAGUAAUUUCCACCUUCCCAACUCCCUCGAUCUUACCUUUGUUCUUCUUCCCCUUGUUGUAGAGGCUCAUGGCCUCACUCCCCUUGUGACAACCGAGAUUUUGUAAUUUAAUUUUAAUAUUUAUUGGAUUAAAUAAAUAUUUUUCGAUGAAUUAAUUAUUAGAUUAAAUAAUUAAUUAAUGAAGUUGUGGUAGACUAAUUUAAUUAUAUGUGUUAUAUUUAUUAAAUUAAUGUGGAGAAUUUUUAUUAUUCGAAGUAUGUAAUUAUGUGAGCUUAUUGAAUUAAAAGAAAUAUUUAAUAAGCCUAAUAGUAUUUUAAUUAAUUUAAUAAUUAAUUAAAGUUUUAAUAAUUUGACAUAAUUAAUAAACGAGAAAUUUAAUUAUGUGACUGUGAAUUAAUGAGAAAUUAGUAUAUGUUAUUUAAAUAAAUUAAAUAAGAUAUUUGAUUUAUUGUACAAUUGGGUGUGACAUGAUUUAAACUAUAGUAUAAGAGAAUCAUUAAAUUAAAUGGUUUUGAAACCUAUUAUUGCCAGCCAAACGAGGCCCUAAGAGGAGAUAAUAGCAGUUAACCCAUGAUGGGUAAUUGACCUCCACAACGCGUCAGUUCCUUUAUUAUAUACAUCUUAUUCUUUACGCUCUAAGUCUGGAAAUAAGAAAAUCAAUUACAGAGAAAAAUUGAGAAAAUUGUCGAGGGAGAUUGUGAGUGAGUGAUUGAAGAAGCAUCUGAGAAAGGUUUUCCUUACUAAUCUACACUCAACGCUUUGGGUAAUUUCUUUAACCCAAUUUCUAUUUUACGUCAUUUAAGUUUUUGUAAAAAAAUGGCUUUCAAGUUUCUGUUAAAUUCAAGCAAUUGGAAAGAGUAAUAAUUAUGUGCAUAUAUGUGAUAAGAUGUUGUUGUAAUGUGUUUUACUAUAUAUUGUAUGGUUCCAUGUCAUCAGUUUCAUAAUAUUAUAACGUAUGUUAUUGCUUCAAAAGUUACAGAGUAUAGAAAUAUGGCCAUAUGACCCUUAUACGUAAAUUUAAUUUGUCAAACAUAUAUUGUUUCGUAAAUUUCACACUCGUAUAUAAUUAUGUAUGUUCAAACGAGGAAAAAAAACUUCGAAUGGACGGAUUUGGUGUUAUAACGAACCCGUGAUGUGAAUUUUUAUGUUUUAUGUUCCAAAACCUUCAAGAACAUCAAGAACAGUGAAUUUACAUGUUUGAUUCUGUAAUUAUGUGUUGUAAUUUAUUAAAAUCACUCUAUAAAGGUUGGGGUAAUGAUUAUGUACGAAUUCUAGUAUGUGGGUAUGUUUAAUUUAAUGAAUUAAUGACCAUGUAAUGAUAAUUUUGCCUUAUUCUGUGUUCUUCGCGAAUUGGAAUUCAAAAACUGGAGUUUCGCGCCGCGGCACCAACUCCAUGCCUUAAGUUCCAUGCCGCAGCGCCACUGCGCCGCAGUGCCAGAGCCUAAGCCGCAGCGCCACUGUGACACCCCCAAAUUCGGUACUUCCAUUUCCACAGGAUUUGGUGUUCACUGUACAAAUAUCAUCUAUCUAUCUACCCGUAAAUAAAAUGCAAACCAUACAAUAUAUAGAAAUAAUAAUAAAAUCUCUCCCCUUAUGGGGUUACAUCAACUGAAUAAUAAUAAAUCCCAGGUUACUCUAACCUUAAAACAUCUGUGCGGAAAACAUAAACAAAUAAGUCUUAGUAACAUCAAUUCUAAUUACAUCACAUAACCACAAUAAUAAAACAGUCUUCAUUACUUGCUAAGCUUUCCCUUGCCCUUACUAGUGAAAGGUUCGUCUGCUCUUUCGUUCUUAACUGCAAUGUUAUUAUUACGCAAGAGUGAGCACGAUUGCCCACAAGUAUAACAAUAUAACAAUGAAUAAUAACAUGCGAGAGAAAUAAUAACUUCUGAUAUAAAGCUCAACUUUUGAAUCAAGAAUGGAUAACAAGAAUCAAAAGAAAUUCUGAGGGUCAUAAGACCUUGAACUAUGUCCUAGGUUGUCAAGUGUUUAUACUUGAAACCUUUAACAGUCAUAAGACUAUGGACUCUUCUUCUCGUACUUAGGGGGAUCAGCCCUUAGUACCAUACUGUGCACAAUAUCUUAACGCUAAAGCGUAAAUAAUCCCCUAUACAGGGUUGUUCAUCUCAGUUUGACAUUCGAGUCCGCACCAAAGGAAGUUUGGUUUGGAUAAUUCAUCAAGGGGUUCUGAAAUUUAGAACGCUCAUCAACUAUGGACUAGUCGAAUCAAUAAGGGUUCGCUAGUCUAACAAGGUUUAACAGUAAAUGAAUAUUUAACUUGAAUAACAUCUCAAAAGGUAUACAAUAGAAUAAUUAUUGUAUAACAACAUCAUGCUUGAAGAUUAAUAAACUUUAAUAUACAAGACAGGCUUGAUCAAUAAUAAUGAGAACUUGCUCAAUAUCGAAAGAUGAAUUAAUCAACUUAUAUAACGAUAACAAGUAGGGUUAGGAAACUUGCUCAACGAAAGUUUAGGGUAAGAAACUUGCUCAACGUAAAUGUAGAGUUAGAAAACUUGCUCAAUGUAACAAGAUAAGGUUUAGAAACUUGCCUCGUGCGUAGAUUACACUUAAACAAACUCGUUCUUUGAAUUAAAUCCUACAUACCAAUUACGUUCACAAUACCAGUCAAUAACAACGUACUAACAUCAUAACUUUACUCUUUGUUUAACUCGAAUUCAUGACUAUACUUAGUCAAUUAUUACACUUAGUGUAAAAUUAAGACUUCACGAAAAAUAAACUAAUUAUGCAUUCGAUCAUUCAAUCCACACGUAAUUGUGUUAUGGACAUGUUAAGAAUUUAUUUUAACAUCUCAUUAUAGGUCUAACAAGUCUUUAUAAUCAUUAGACUAAGUUGCUAUCACAUUUCCAUACUUGUACACUUUUAAAAACUCAUUUCUGACCAUUCUGCUAAGUGGCGCUGCGGCGCCACUUUUGUACUGGCUCUUGGCGCUGCGGCGGGACACUUGGCGCUGCGGCGCGGUGGCACUGCGGCGCGAGAAAUGAACUGGGAGUUGGCGCCGCGACGGGAGACUCCAGUUCCAGUUUCUGCAAUUCGCGAAAAUUGCAGAACACGACUAAAAAUUUUCAAUCAACUUAUUUUUACACGAAUUUAGACAUACGCACAUGCUAGAAUUCAUAAAUAAUCAAUACUUAACAUCUAUGGAGUGAUUUUCACCCAUUAAAACACAUAAUCACAGAAUUAAAGCAUGCAAAUUGGACUGUUCUUGAUGUUCUUGAAGUUCUUGAACAAAAACAUGGAUUUUAAUGCUACGGAUUCGUUAUAAAGCCAAAUCCAACCAUUCAAGUUUCAUUUUGUUCAUUUUAACAUGCAUAAUCAUAUCAAUGUGUGAAUUUUGCAAAAUAAAUUAUAUUUGACAUAUAAAAAUCACGUAUAAGGCCAUAUGGCCAUAUCACAUACUCUGAAAUCUUUUACUGUAUAAUUUCAUGAAACUGAAGAUAUGGAAACCCAUAUAAUAUAUAUUAAAACAUGCUAUGAUGUUAUAUUAACACAUAAUCACAUAAUUCCUACUCUUUCCAACUACAGAAACUUAACAGAAAACUUAAGCCAUAUUCAUGAAAACUUUAAAAGACGUAAAAAUAAUAAUUGGGUUGAAGAGAUUACCCAAGCGUAGAUAAAAUAAUAGGAGAUGAAUUAAAGCCUUCCUCAAUAAUUCUCAAACACCAAGCAAUCUCUCUCAACAAUUUUCUCAAACUCUCUCUCUGUGAUGUUUUUAUCAGACUUAGAAGAAUAAUAGAAAAGAAGAAGACGUAUGAUAAAUAGAAAAGGAACUGACGCAUUGGUGGUCAGUUACCCAGUCAUGGGUUAACUGCCCAUAACCUCCCUUAGUGCCAUGUUUGGCUAGCAAGAAAAUAAUUCAAAAACCAUUUAAUUUAAUAAAACAUUAUCAUAUAGUUUAAAUAAUGUCACACUCCUUUAUAAAAUAAAUCAAUAUCUUAUUUAAUUUACUUUAAAUAAAAUAUAAUAAUUUCUCAUUAAUACACAUAGUCACAUAAUUCAAAUUCUCUUUGAUUAAUAAUGUCAAAUUAUUAAAUCUCUAAUUAAUAAUUAAAUUAAUUAAAAUAACAUAGGCUUAUUAAAUAUUUCUUUUAAUUCAAUAAGCUCACAUAAUCACAUACUUUGAAUAAUAAAAAUUCUCCACAUUAAAUUAAUAAAUAUAACACAUAUAAUUAAAUUACUCUAUCACAACUUCAUCAAUUAAUUAUUUAAUCUAAUAAUUAAUUCAUCGAAAAUAUUUAUUCAAUCAAAUAAAUAUUAAAAUUAAAUUACAAAAUUAUGGUUGUCACAGCCACCGCGCUACAAUGCCACCGUGCCGCAGCGCCAAGAUCAAGCCUAUCAGUGGCGCCGCAGCGCUACUAUGCAGAUUGUCCAGAAAUGAAUUUUUUUUUAAGUGUUUUAAGUCUAGAGAUGUGAUAGUAACCAAAUCUAAGGAACAUAAAAUUAUGUUAGAAGUAUAACGAGACGUUAAGAUAAAUCCUUAACAUAUCAAUAACACAAUUAUGUGCGAAUUGAAUUAUUGAACACAUAGUUAGAUUAUUAUUGUUCAUAAAGUGUAAAUUAUGUGUCAAUGAAUAUAGUAAUUUGACUAAGUAUGAUCAUAAUCAAAGUUAGACAAAGAGAAUGAACUUGUGUUGACUAGUUACGUUAUAAUUGACUGGUAUUGUGAAUGUAAAUGGUAUGUAGGAUUAAAUCAAGGAACGUGUAUAAAUUAACGUGUAAUCUACGCACGAUGCAAGUUUCCUAACCCUACUCGUUAUUAUUAUAUGAGUUUAUAAGUUUAGCUCUUUACAUCGAGCAAAUUCUCAUUAUUAUUGAUCAAGUCCAUUUUGUUAUAUUAAAAUAUAUUAAUCUUUCAAAGUAUGAUUCUGUUAUACAAUAUUUAUUCUAUUGUAUAUCUCUUGAGAUUGCUAUUCGAUUUAAAUUAUCAGUUGCUAUUGAACCUUGUUAGACUAGCGAACCCUUAAUGAUUCGACUAGUCCAUAGUUAAUGAGCGUUCUAAAUUUUAGAACCUUUGUUGAAUUAUCCAAAUCAAACUUCCUUUGGUGCGGACUCUAAUGUCAAACUGAGAUGAACAACCCUGUAUAGGGGAUUACUUAUGCGUUAGCGUUAAGAUAUUGUGCACAGUAUGGUACUAAGGGCUGAUCCCCCUAAGUACGAGAAGAAGAGUCCAUAGUCUUAUGACUGUUAAAGGUUUCAAGUAUAAACACUUGACAACCUAGGACAUAGUUCAAGGUCUUAUGACCUUCAGAAUUUCUUUUGUUUCUUGUUAUUCACUCUUGAUUCAAAAGUUGAGUUUUCCUAUAUCAGAAGUCUUUGAUUUAUUCGCAUGUUAUUAUCCCUUGUCAUAUUGUUAUACUUGUGGGUAAUCGUGCUCACUCUUGCGUAAUAAUAACAUUGUAGUUAAGAACGAAAGAUCUGACGAGUCUUCCACUAGUAAAGGCAAGGGCAAGGUUAACAAAUGAAGAAGACUUGUUAUUAUUAUGUAUUUAUAUUUAGACUUGAUGUUGUUUAAGACUUGUUAUUUGUUUAUGAUUCCGCACAGAUGUUUAAAGUUAGAGUGACCUGGGAUUGUAUUUAUUAUGCAGAUGGUGUAACCCUAUAAGGGGAAGAUUUAUUCAUUAUUUCUAUUUAUUGCAUGGUUUGCAUUUAUUUAUGGGUAGAUAGAUAGAUGAUAUUUGUAUAGUGAACACCAAAUCAUGCGAAAAUGGAAGUACCCAGAUUUGGGGGUGUCACAGGUUGGUAUCAGAGCUGUAGGUUAUGAACCUUAGGUGGGGGAACAACCUUAGGUAGUAGCCUUGUAGAAGAUCGAGAACAUAGUGGUGGUAAACUUUUAUCGAGUUCUAAGAAAUGAAUUUCUUAAUUCAUUGAAGAUAAUAAAAGACUUAUGUGCUUAUGUGUUAAAUUAUGUGCUUGUUAGUACGGAUUAGUAACUAAAACUUAAAAUUGUGUUGUCAGAAUGUCGGAUGUUGGAGGAGCUAGUCGAGCUGGGGAGGAGGAACCCCGAGUACCUGCAGAGGAGGAGCCCCAAGACAUUCAUGUCGUCAGGGAACAGUUGGUACAGAGAGAGCCAUCUCCGUUGAUCACUGUUGUUGGUCAGGAGCAUGAGCCUGAGACUGAUCCAGAGGAGGAUUCUGAGGAAGAAGAGGAGGAAGAGGAGUUCCCACCGAACUCCAUCGAUGCUGAGAUGUAUGAUGCGCUUUAUGAUCGUAACAUAGAGUUAUGAGACACUGUUCAGGAGCUGAAGGAGCAGACAAUUAUUCAGCAGAUUACCAUCGAGCAAAAGGAUAGGGAGAUUGUGACUCUUCACACACGUUUGGGAAAUGUGGAGUGGGAUUUGGUUCAUGAGAAGGGUCAAACCGAGAAGAAUUUCUAAGAAAUAGAGAAGUUGAAGAAGGAACUGAAAGAGAGCUCAGAAAGACUGACCAUAGCAGAGGAGGGCAGGGUAAGAGAGUCACGUCGUGCUGAUCUUGCAGAAGAGGAUUGUCGUGCGAAUAAGGCUAAUCUUGGGGAGACGUACUCUACACUUAAAAAUGCAAUGGAUGAGGCCCAGGAUCGAGUUAUGAGAUACCCAAUUCAGUUCGAAGGACUACCGUCGUAUAUGCUAGAUCGUAGGACGAUGUUCUGCAUCAUGGAAGAGGAACGUGGCAAGGCUAUUCAGCGCCUUAACAGGCAGUGAUGGGAUUAAUUUAAUUAUGUGAAAACCUAUCUGGUAGUUAAAGAUGUAAAUUUCGAUGUGUUUAUGAACAAAUGAAUAUUUUAAUGUUUUAAAUCCUGUAGAUUAUUUAUCUCGGGAUAGUCGAUCUAAAUAGCAGUGAUGCUAUCGUUUGAUGUUAAAACUUUCAAUUUGAAUAAAUAUCAGAGUUUAUUGAUAUAAUGUGUGAAGUGAUUAUGAUUAAAUGUGUUAGUUAAACCUUAAAUGUUUAAGGGAUUGAAUAAAGACCUAAUAAGCGUAUAUUCUUAACAGAAAUAUGCCGCCUAGGAGAAGACAAAAUCGUCAACAAGCUCAACAAGAAGCGAUGAAUAACAACAACGACGCUAACCCUGUUUAGCAAUUGGUGAACCUAUUAGCUGGAGAAAUUAACAAUCAACCACAAGCUCCACCAAACACAUCGUUCAAGGAUUUUAAGGCGUUGGGACCGCCAGAGUUUAAGGGCUCCAUAAACCCAAUCGAAGCUCAAACAUGGGUUAUAGAGAUGGAUAAGGUAUUUGAUGUCGCCAGAGUAAGAAAAGACCAGAAGACCGCAUACGCAACAUUCAUGCUGAAGUCUGAAGCCAAUUAUUGGUGGCAGGCAAACAAAGUACGGGGAGGAGAAGGUGUAAUAACCUGGGAGAGAUUCAAGGAGAUGUUCUUCGAGAUAUAUUUUCCAACCAGCUCGCAGAACCAGAUGGAGGUGCAGUUUUUGGAGUUGAAACAGGGGAAUAUGUCCGUAGCAGAUUAUGCGGCAAGGUUCAACGAGUUGGCUAGAUUCACCAAAUAUCAAGUGCAUACUGAUGAGAGAAAGGCAAGACGUUUCGAACAGGGACUGAAGCCCUGAUUGUAUAAGGUGUCAAUGUUCCAAUUGAAUACUUUUGCUGGAGUGUUAGAGAAGGCCAUACUCGCUGAAGGUGGAAGCGAUGCGGUAACUAAAUAUAAUCAGGAUUAGAAGAAGAAAAAGAGUGAAAAUGAAGGAAUUAACAAGACUGGUGGAAGUAGCACGGGAGGUGGUAAUAGUCAGAAGAGAAAGUCGUCUAAUAACUCAUCAGCUGGAAGUCAACAAGGAGGGCAGAAGAAAUAGAUCGAAGCGUGCCCAACCUGCGGAAAAGCUCAUCUGGGAGUUUGCAUGAAGGGAAAGCGAGUAUGCUACAAUUGUGGUCAGGAAGGCCACAUAGCACCUAACUGUCCUAACCCAAAGAAAGGCGCCUGCUUCACUUGCAACUCAAAGGACCAUCUGGCAAGGGACUAUCCCAAGAAGGGAUCUGGAGGGGCAGGAUCAGGAGGGAACAGGGGAAACAGCGGUGGAAGUGCUUUAACUAUCACGGGACCAACCGCAACCAACCGACUGACCGCCAGGACAUUUAACAUGACAGUGCAUGAUGCUGUGCAGUCUCGCGAUGUGGUGUCAGGUAUCAUUCUGAUCAAUACAGUUAAUGCUUAUGUAUUAUUUGAUUCGGGUGCUACUUGUUCAUUUAUAUCCGAUGACUUUGCUAAGAACUUAGAAUUGCCUAAGGAUGCGUUAGAAUACCCCAUGAACAUAGAAAUUGCGAAUAGAGAAGUGAUCCCUGUUAAAUACGUACACAAGAACUAUAGGGUGGAUAUUAAGGGUAACAUUAUGAACGUAGAUCUUAUCCCUAUUCGACUUGGAGAAUUCGAAGUUAUCUUGGGUAUGGACUGGUUAUCCAAUUAUGGGGCGGUAAUUGAUUGCCAGAAGAAACGUAUUAACCUUAUGACUCCGUCAAAGGUUGUGUUUUAUGGUAGCAAGUCACCUAGACAAGCGAGUUGUCUAACGAUGAUGCAGGCCAAGAAGUUGUUAAGACAAGGCUGUGUAGGAUAUCUAGCUUAUAUAGUCGACAAUCGUAAAGAAAAUCUAAAAAUAGAGGAGAUACCAGUAGUGAGGGAUUUCACAGACGUAUUUUCGGACGAUUUUCCAAGACUUCCACCAGAUAGAGCAGUUGAUUUUGUGAUCGAUUUGGCUUCAGGAACGGCUCCAAUAUCGAAGGCACCGUACCGAAUGGAACCGGUAGAGAUGAAAGAACUGAUGGUUCAACUAUAAGAAUUACUGGACAAGAAGUAUAUCCAACCGAGCGUAUCACCGUGGGGAGCACCAGUUUUAUUAGUGAAGAAGAAGGAUGGGACAAUGCGGCUCUACAUCGACUAUAGAGAACUGAAUAAGGUCACAAUUAAGAAUAGAUAUCCAUUACCAAGAAUCGACGAUCUGUUCGAUCAAUUGAAGGGAGUUAGAUACUUCAAAGAUAGACUUAAGGAGUGGUUAUCAUCAACUGAAGGUGAGACCAGAGGAUGUACCGAAGACAGCAUUCAGAACACGAUAUGGUCACUGCGAAUUUUUGGUAAUGUCAUUUGGUCUAACGAAUGCUCCUACAACAUUUAUGGGCUUAAUGAAUGGAGUGUUCAAGCCAUUUUUGGACAAAUUUGUAGUAGUAUUUAUAGAUGAUAUUUUGAUAUAUUCGAAAACCAAGGAAGAACAUGAAGAGCAUUUGAGGGUGACGUUAGAGACAUUAAGAAGGGAGAAGUUGUAUACCAAGUUUUCGAAAUGUGAAUUCAAGAUUGAAAGAGUACAAUUUCUUGGACAUGUGAUCGAUAAGGACGGAAUUUCGGUGGAUCCCUCCAAGUUUGAAGUUGUGAUUAACUGGGAUCAGCCGAAGACGCCGUCGGAAGUAAGAAGUUUUCUUGGAUUGGCAUGUUAUUAUAGAAGAUUCAUUCAGGACUUUUCCAAGAUCGCGACUCCGUUGACAAAUUUGACUAGGAAAUCGGUGAAAUUUGUUUGGAUGGAGAAGUGUGAGGAAAGCUUUCAAGAAUUAAAGAAAAGGUUGAGUACAACACCUGUGUUAUCUCUUCCGGAUGAUACAGGAAAUUUUGUGGUUUAUAGUGAUACAUCGCAUAAAGGACUUGGCUGUGUGCUUAUGCAGAACGGCAGAGUCAUUGCGUAUGCGUCACGAUAAUUGAAGGAUUAUGAGAAGGGGUAUCCGACCCACGACUUGGAGUUAGCUGCAGUGGUUUUUGCUUUGAAAAUCUGGAGGCACUAUCUCUAUGGGGAGAAGUGUGAAAUAUAUACAGACCACAAGAGUCUGAAAUAUAUUUUUACACAAAAGGACUUGAACAUGCGCCAAAGAAGGUGGUUGGAGUUAAUUAAGGACUACGAUUGUGAGAUUCUAUACCAUCCGGUUAAGGCAAAUGUGGUUGCCGACGCCUUAAGUAGAAAGGUUCGGGAGAAACUGAUUAUGUUGACCGCUCAGGAGGAGCUAAUUUCAGCAAUGGAAAAGCUGGAAUUGGAAGUGAAGUAUCUUAUAGAGAUUGAUGAGAAGCUAUUUCAGAUGCAAUCUGGUACAACUCUACUAGGUAAAGUUAAGGAGGCUCAACUUGAGGAUGACGAAUGUAAAAUGGUUUAAAAAAAGAUAUCCGAAGGAACCGAAUCAAGAUUCAAGAUGGAUAAGGAAGGAAUACUGAGAUUUGAGAAUAGAAUUUGGGUACCGCUAGUACCAGAGAUUAAGGAAGAAAUUUUGAGUGAGGCUCAUAACUCACGAUAUUCGAUUCACCCUGGUAGUACUAAGAUGUACCAAGAUCUACGACAACAUUUUUUGUGGCCGAUUUUGAAACGAGAGGUUACAGAAUGUGUUGCCAAGUGUUUGACAUAUCAGAAAGUGAAAGCAGAACAUCAGAGGCCGAGUGGGUUACUACAACCUUUAGACAUUUCAGAAUGGAAAUAGGAACAUAUUACGAUGGAUUUCGUGGUUGGCCUUCCGACAACUCAGAAAGGCUACGACACAGUAUGGGUUAUCAUUGACCGACUGACAAAAUCCGCACACUUUAUUCCGAUUAAAAUCAGAUUUAACUUAGAUCAGUUGGCAAGGUUAUAUGUGAAAAAGAUUAUUUCGAGGCACGGAGUCCCGGUGUCAAUUAUCUCAGAUAGAGAUCCGCACUUUACGUCGAACUUCUGGAAAUGUCUAUAGGAAUGCAUGGGUACACAGUUGUGAAUGGGCACGACGUAUCACCCUCAGACAGAUGGACAGAAUGAAAGAACAAUUCAGACAUUAGAAGACAUGUUAAGAGCUUGCAUAAUGGACUUUAAAGGAAAUUGGGAUGAUCAUCUACCGCUCGUAGAGUUCGGCUACAAUAACAGUUACCACACUAGUAUUGGCAUGCCGCCUUAUGAAGCGUUAUAUGGAAGAAAGUGCAGAACUUCGCUAUACUGGGAUGAAGUUAGCGAAAGACAAUUACUAGGCCCAGAAUUAGUACAACAGAUAGCAAAAAUAAUCAAAGUGAUCCGAACAAGACUGAUAGCAGCUCAAGAUAGACAGAAGAAAUACGCCGAUCCACACCGUAAAAAUGUCGAGUUUGAAUCGGGUAGUUAUGUGUUCUUAAAGGUCUCUCCCUGGAAGGGAAAGAUCAGGUUCAGAAAGAAAGGGAAAUUAAGCCCAAGAUUCAUUGGACCCUUUGAGGUACUGCGAAGAAUCGGAGAAGUUGCGUAUGAGGUAGCCUUACCUCCAGUUCUCGAGAAUGUCCACAACGUUUUCCAUGUUUCAGUUUUACGACCCUACAAACCCGAUUACAAGCACGUGAUUGAGUAAACAUGGUAGGUGACGCGUUGAGUAGAAGAUGGUAUGCAUUUACGAGUGCGUUGUUGUUAACACAGAAACCCAUUUCGUAUAACUUACAAAUGAUGAAGAUAGAGUUAAAGACUCUAGGAACCCACGUAAUGAAUAUACGAGUAGAAUCGACUUUAAUCGAUAAAGUUAAAGCCGCUAAAACUACACACCCGAAGCUAAUAAAUGUGAAGAAGAAGGUUCAAGAAGGCGUUAUUCUAGAAGCAAGAGUCGAUGAAUAGAAGAAAUCUCAACCCUCGAUUUAAUUGGUCUAUUUGAAAUCCUCGAUCGAAUAGGAACUGUGGCCUAUAGACUCGUUUCACCGCCAAGUAUGUCACGUGUUCAUAAUGUUUUUUUUACGUAUCGAUGUUACGCAAUUAUGUGGACGACCCGAACCACAUUAUUGAAUUGAAAUUAGACGAGAUAGCAGAAGAUUUAAUGUAUGAGGAGAUACAUGUUAAAUUCUUGGAUAAGAAGGAUCCCAUUCGACACUCAAAAGGUUAUACCUCAAGAGUUAGAAUCUGAAAUGAAGUCAAGGUAUCCUCACCUCUUCAGCAUAUAAGGUACGUAGGUAAAUUUUGAGGGCGAAAUUUCAUAAGGAGGGGAGAUUGUGAAACCCAAAUUUUAUGAAUAAAGAUUUAAAUCUCUCGAAAUAUUUUUUUGAAUAUUAUGGUGUGGAUUUUAUAUAAUGUUAUAGUUGUGGGUAAUAGUUAUAAAUUUUGCAAAGUAAGCAACUUGUUAUAUAAUAUUCGAUUUGUUAGGGAAUAUUCUUUUUGUCGGGGAAUAUCCGUACGACGACACAAUCAUUGGUGGACCCCACAACGGAAGUAUUGUCGUAGUUAGAAAACGAUAGAAUUAUCAUUUUAUAAAAAUAACGGCGAAAGUGUUACCGUUAAAAUUGUUGAACUACCCGGUAGUAAAAGUACAGUAAUACGCGUGGUUGCAUAGUAGCACACGGUAUUGAUUAUUGAUGCUUACGUAAGAAGUCACUCAGUUAUACUCAAUUAUUGUUACAGUAAUUGCUGCAUCAUAUCUCUCAUAUUAUUGAUUCAAUUAUUGUCACAUUAUCAUCUGUAUAAUAUGUUAUAUUAUUAAAUCAAUAAUUGAGACAGCAAAGUUAUUCAUAUUAUUAUUUGCAAUAUUGACAACGUCCAAAUGUUCUGUCAAGGAGAGGUUUGGUCACCUAAUUGCGCGCCAAUAAGGAGAAAUCCUUAUCGGAAAGCCCCCUCUUUCCUGGGAACGACCUGGUUGUUAAAUAUUGUGAAUUAUAAUAUUAAUGAUGAAUAAGUUCGUGUUGAUUAAAGAUGAAAUUGAUAGUUCCAUUGUGUUGGAAUUAUUAGUGUUAGUGGAAAUCGACAUUUAUUUCGAUAUUAAUUGAUGUCUGGAAGUUAUACUGACCAGUCGGGUAAUUAAUCGGAUAAAUGAGCAAUUAAUUGCUAUUAAUUCACAUGAUUAUAACUAUUUGUUCACAUGUGUGUACUAUUGAUUCACAUUCUUGUACUAUUAGGGGAGUUGGUGCAAGAUUGAUAAUACUUGCAUGACUAAGUUAAAAAUGGAGGUAUAGAUGGAGGUACUAUACUGUAAUUCGUAUUUUCACAUGAUUAUAACUAUUGAUUCACAUGAUUGAACUAUUGAUUCACAUUAUUUACUAUUAGGGGAGGUGGUGCAAGUUUGAUAAUACUUGUAGGACUAAAUUAAAAAUGAAGAAAAAGAGGAAGAUAUUAUACUGUAAUAUUUCGAGCCCCAAAACGUGCAAUUAUCGAAACUAUAUUUUCCUAUAAAUAGAAGCUCAUUCCUUCAUUUCUCACCAAUUCACUAAAGCUAUAGAGCAAUUAUUAUAGAGAGAAAUUAUAGAGAGAAAGAAGAAGAGAAAUUCGCUACCUCACUAUUCCAGUAUCCAGUCUUCUUUUGAGGUAAGGGGUAUUAUUCUUUUGUAUUCAUGAAGAGAGUUAUUUUCUUUCAAUACUCGUAAGGGUUGUUAUUCCAUUCUUUAUUAUUAUGUUGUUGGAAUAACCUGUCUAUUCGAAGUAUCGCAUACAUGGUGAAAUUCUUCUAUUAUUCCAUUCUUUAUUAUUCUGUUGGAAUAACCUGUCUGUACGGUCUAUCGCAUGCCUGGUGAAUUCUGUUGUUAUUUUAUUCUUUAUUAUUCUAUUGGAAUAUCCUAUCUGUGCACAUUACGCAUCACCUGGUUCCAUUCUUUAUUAUUCUGUUGGAAUAUCCUGUCUGUGCGGAUUACACAUGACCUGGUUCCAUUCUUUAUUAUUCUGUUGGAAUAUCCUGUCUGUGCGGAUUACACAUGACCUGGUUCCAUUCUUUAUUAUUCUGUUGGGAAUAACAUGUCUGUGCGGUCUAUCGCAAGCAUGAUGAAUUCUUCUAUUAUUCCAUUCUUUAUUAUUCUGUUAGAAUAACCUGUCUAUGUGGAUUAUCGAAUGCAUGGUGAAUGAUCCUUUGUAUUCAUUCCUUAUUAAAUUAUGGAAAUGAUCUGUCUAUGUGGAUUACCGCAUGGCGGGUGAAAAUUUAUUUGCAGUUCUAUAUAUUCUAUUAUACUCAGCUGGGAUAUCAUUUCUUUUGUACUCGUCAUGGAAUAACAUUUUUUUGUUAUUUUUCUUUUACGAGUUACUAUUCACGGGUUACUAUUCACCCGAUUACUAUUCACUCUAGUAUUAUUCACUCGGGUAUUCGGGGUACUUUUUGUGCCAGAGUACUAUUCACGAGUUACUAUUCACAGAUUACUAUUCACCCGGUUACUAUUCACUCUAGUAUCACUCACUUGGGUAUUCGAGACACUAUUCGUGUCGGAGUACUAUUCACAGAGUACUAUUCACGGGGUACUAUUUACACGAAAAAUAUAUUCUUUUCUGUCCAAAUUAUUUUUGGUACAUGAAUAUUAUUCUUGAAUUUUACUCUACAAAGCAGUAUCAUGUUGACAAUUUGGAUAUCUUUAAACUCUGGAUAAAUUUAAAGUCUUUAAUAUUUAUCCUUGAUUUUGUUUGAUUUGAUUUCGGUUGAUUAUUGCUUAUAUCAUUGUCAUCAUCCUCAUGCUUAUAUUGUGAUGAAAGUCAUCUUUGGCUUACGUGCAUAGAUGGACUUGGUAUGAUUAUGACCAGGGAUUAUUCGGUAUAAUCAUGACCGUAAUAUGACGAAUGAUGUGGUAUCUUUUAGCAUUGGCCUGUAGUUCAUUGAUGGACAGUUGUUGGUAUGAUUAUGACCAAGGAUUAUUCGCUAUAAUCAUGGCCAUUGAUGAUUACAUGAAUAUCCUUGGCUGUGGUGCAGGGAUGAUUUGAUUUUAUUUAUUAAGUCGAGUCUCAGUGAUAAAGUUGAUAAAAAACUUUUUAAAUCAUAGAAGAUAGUAGAUUUUAUGCUCUACUUGAUUCUUCUAAUGGAUUGCUUAUUUAUGCUGCAGUUGUUGAUCUAAACUUGUUGUCUAUUGUAUCCUAUCAGUUGUUAUACUGUUGAAGGCUAAUGAUAAUUUAUUUUGCAUUAUCUUAGUCAUAAUAUUUCUUACUGGGCUAGUUGAGCUCACCCUUUUCUUUCACUGUUCUCUUCGGGAAAUGAGAAUAUAGCUGGGACGAGUCGGGAAAUGGAGUGACGGUCCAGGAUAAGCGGCUUUAGUAGUCCUCACUAUUCUGUGAAAUAGUGUGAUAAUAAUUGUAAUGAGGACUCUAUUUGAGAGUGGAUAUUGUCUAGAAGGAAAUAUUUCUGUUUAAACUCUCAGCUAUGUUUUGUCGUAUAUUACACGACGAUUGUAUAAUUAAGCUUAUAUUUGAUUUAUGUACCACGUAUCUGGCGACCCAAGAUGGGUGAUGUAUACCUGUUUUGGGGGCGUCACAUAUGAUAUUUGUAUAGUGAACACCAAAUCCUGCGGAAAUGGAAGUACUCGGAUUUGGGGGUGUCACACCCCUCCGCAGCUAUGAUAGCUUUUUCCAUGAAUGUUGCAAAAGUGUUUAUCUGCAACACUGCCACCUUGUUGUAGAGGCAGGGUUUUAAUCCCAGCUCAAACCUUCUCGCCUUCCUAGCCUCCGUAUCAACUUGAUGCGGAGCGAACCUAGCCAACUCAUUAAACUUUUCGGCAUACUCUGCAACACUCAUGUUCUCCUGCUUUAAUUCCAAAAACUUCACCUCUAUCCUAUCCUGCAUACUAGACGAAAAAUAUUUUUCAAAAAAUAGAGUUUUGAACCUAGCCCAAGUAACUACACCUUGUCCUGCCCCAGUUUGAUUCGCGUCUCACCAAAAAUUUGUCUCACCCUUCAUCAUGUAGGUGGCAAAAGCUGUCUUGUGCCCCUCAGCUACCCUAGCUAUCACAAAUACUUUAUCAAUUUCCUUAACCAAAGUUUGGGCUUCUACAGGGUCAGUUAUACCUCUAAAUUCGGGCGGUCCUACAACCUUAAAAUCUUUGAAAUUUGCCAAGCGAUUGUCUGGUUGAUUUCCUGCUGCUGGCAUUCCUUGUUGCAUAGCUUGUGCUACCAUGUUCGCAAAUUUUUGCAUCGGGUCUGCUUGUUGCCCCCCAACAUUGUUGACAGAUUCUUCUGCCCUUUGAUUUCGAGUUUGACGUCUUGGCGACAUUAUCUGGUUAAAUAAAACCAUAAAUUAUUCUUUACAUUCCAAACCUUAUCAUAUAAGUUUCACGUAUCAAACUUAUUUCAUUAAUCAAACAUAGAUUCAUAUUCAUUCAACUAUUUCAUAGUACUUUACAUAACAUAUCACAUACUGCUAUCCCUUUGUGACCACAAAAGUCGGGAUUUACGGCUUUGAUGUGACGCCCCCAAAAUAGGUAUACAUCACCCAUCUUGGUUCACCAAAUACAUGGUACUGAAUACAAAUACAAACUUAAUUAUACAACAUGAGCUGAGAGUUUUUACACGAAUAUUAUCUUUUAGACAAUAUCCAAACUCAAAUGGAGUCCUCAUUACAUUUAUUGUCACACUAUUUUAUAGAAUAGUGAGGACUACUAUAACACCAUCUCGGACCAUCACUUCGUUCCCCGACUAGUUCCGGCUACGUUCUCAUUUCCUGAAGAGAACAAUGGAAGUAAAAGGGUGAGCUUAACUAGCCCAGUAAGAAAUAUUAUGACUAAGAUAAUGCAGAAUAAGUUAUCAUUAGCCUUCAAUAAUGUUAAACUGAUAGAAUAUAAUAGACAACAAGUUUAACUGCAGUGGAACAAGUAAUCCAUUAGAAUAGUCAAGUAGAGCAUGAUAUCUAAUAUCUUCUAUGAUUUAAAAAGGUUAUCAUUAACUUUAUCGUUGAGACUCAGCUUAAUAAAUAAAUCACAUCAUCGAAUCAUCCAUGCACUACGGGCCAAGGAUACUCAUUAGUAUCACGUCCAAGGAUAUUCGUGUAAUCAUCAAUGGUCAUGAUCAUACCGUAUUAUCCCUGGUCAUAAUCAUACCAAUUAACAGUCCAUCUAUGCACGUAAGCCAAAGAUGACUUUCAUCACAAUAUAAGCAUGAGGAUGAUGACAAUGAUAUAAGAAUUCAAUUAAAAGAAAUCAAAGGAUAAAUUUUUAAAUAUUUAUAACUUAAUUUAUCCAGAAUUCAAUAAUGUCCAAAUUGUCAACAUGAUACUACUUUGUGGAGUAAAAUUCAAGAAUAAUAUCCAUAUAUCAAAAAUAAUUUGGAAAGAAAAGAAAUAAAUUUUUCGGUGAAUAGUACCCCAUGAAUAGUACCAUGUGAAUAGUACUUCGAGAAUAGUACCCCGUGAAUAGUACCUUGACAUGAAAAGUGCCCCGAAUACCCGAGUGAAUAAUAUUUGAGUGAAUAGUAACCGUGUGAAUAGUAACUCGUGAAUAGUAUCCUGACAUGAAAAGUGCCCCAAAUACCUGAGUGAAUAAUAUUAUAGUGAAUAGUAACCAAGUGAAUAGUAACCCAUGAAUAGUACCCCAAGUGAAAAUAUUGAUAUUUAAUAAGAAAGUUCAUAUCAAUAUUCCAAUAAAAUGAUACUGGAUGAAGCGUAAAACUCAAGGAUAUUCCACUAAUUUCAAGGAAUAUAGAAGCAAUACUUACCACAGUAAGUUUGGAUUUAAGAAUAUGAAAAGAAAUAACAUACGAAACUGCAAAUGGAUUUGCACCUGUCAUACGGUACGUAAUCCGCGUAGACAGGUUAUUCCGACCAAUUAAAGGGUGAAUAUGAAAAAUAGUAUUCCUUAUGAAUACGAAAGAAAUAAUACCUCUUACGAAUGCAACAAAUAAUAUCCCUUACCUUAGUAGAAGGCUGGAUACUGCAAUAGUAAAGUAGCAUAAAACUCUUCUUCUUGCUCUCUAUAGUUUCUCUCUCUAUAGUGUCUCUUAUGAAUCUGAGUGAAUUGGUGAGAAUGAAAGAAGAAUUAAGCUUCUAUUUAUAGGAGAAUGGAAUAAAUAGUAACUAAUUCACGAACUGUCCAGAUUGAUUUACUAUUAGAACGGACGGUUCAUAUUGAUUACUAUUAAAACCACAACCGACGAUCCAGAUUGAUUUACUUUUAAAACCACCAUCGAUGGUCUAGAUUGAUUUAAAUUAUUACACUUUAUUACCCCUAAAGUUUUCCAAGUUUGCAUUAUUCCCCUCUAACUUUUGUAAUUCACUUAUCUUCAAUAAACACAUUCUUAAUACUUCAACAAUUAUUCAUCAUUAAUAUUAUAACUCACAAUAUUUAACAACAAGAUCAUUCCCAGGAAAGAGGGGGCUUUCCGAUAAGGAUUUCUCCCUAUUGGCGCGCAAUUAGGUGACCAAAUCUCUCCUUGACAGAACUUUCUAGACAUCGUCAAUAUUGCAAAUAAUAAUAUGAAUAACUUUGUCGUCUCAAUUAUAUAAAAUAUUAAUACUGUAACAAUAAUUGAAUAAAAUAACGUGAGAUACUAUGCAGCAAUUAUUGUAGCAAUAAUUGAGUAUAACUGAGUGACUUCUCACGUAAGCAUCAAUAAUCAAUACCGUGUGCUACAUGCAACCACGCGUAUUACUGUACUUUUACCAUCGGGUAGUUCAACAGUUUAACAGUAAAACUUUCGCCGUUACUUUUAUAAAAAGAUAAUUCUGUCGUUUUCUAACUACGACAAUACUUCCGGUUUGGUUUCCACCAAUGAUUAUGCCGUCGUAGGAAUAUUCCCUGUUAAAACGAAUAUUCUCUGACCAAUCGAAUAUUCCCCAACACAACGAAUAUUUUAUAUCAACUUACUUACUUUGAAAAAAUUUCAAAUAUUACCCACAACUAUAACAUUAUAUCAUAUCCACACUAUAAUAUUCAAAAAUAUAUUAUUAUUCUUUAUUCAAAAAAAUUGGGGUCUUACAACCUCCCCUUCUUAUGAAAUUUUGUCCUCGAAAUUAGGGUACGUACCUAAUAUGUCGAGGAGGUAAGGAUACCUUGAUUUCAUUUCAGAUUCUAACACCCAAGUCAUUUCCUCUGCAUCAUGGUUUCUCCACAAAACAUUGACUUGAGGUAUAACCUUAGAGCGUAGAAUAUGAUCCUUCUUAUCCAAGAUUUUAACAAGAACCUCCUCAUACGUUAAAUCUUCUGCUAUCUCGUCCGGUUCUAAUUCAAUAAUUUGGUUAGGGUCUUUCACAUAUUUACGUAACAUAGAUAUGUGAAAAACGUUAUGAACACGAGACAUACUUGGCGGUAAGGAGAGUCUAUAGGCCACAGUUCCUACUCGAUCGAGGAUUACAAAUGGGCCAAUAAAUCAAGGAUUGCGCUUUCCUCUCUUUUCAAAUCUCGUAACUCCUUUCCAUGGAGUAACAUGUAACAACACAUGAUCUCCAAUAUUGAAUUCCACGUCCUUUCGAUGAAGAUCAGCAUAACUCUUUUAUCGAUCUUGUGAGGUUUUUAUACGUUGUCGGAUCGUUUGAAUCUUUUCUAUAUUUAUACGUACCAACUCCGGUCCCAACAACGAUCCUUCAACCACCUCAUCCCAGCAUACUGGAGAAUGACACUUUCUUCCAUACAACGCCUCAAAAAGAGCCAUGCCAAUACUUGUUUGAUAACUGUUGUUGUAGGAAAACUCCACCAAUGGUAAGAACUUGUCCCAACUUCCUUUGAAGUCAAGGACACAAAGUCUUAAUAAAUCCUCAAGAGUAUGAAUAGUCCUCUCAGACAGCCCAUCCGUUUGAGGAUGAUACACCGAACUAAAUCGUAAAUCCAUGCCCCAAAAUCUUGAGGUGAAUCUUGGGUCUCGAUCAGAAACUAUGGAUACCGGCAUACCAUGUAAUCUUACAAUCUCGUUUAUGUACAUACGAGCAAGACGUUCAAGUGUAUAUGUUUCUUGUAUAAGUAAGAAAUGAGCAGACUUGGUCAAUCUAUCAACAAUGACCCAAAUUGCAUCUAUGCCUUGAGAAACCUUGGGAAGACCAGUAACGAAAUCCAUAGUAAUGUGCUCCCACUUCCAUUCUAAAAUUUACAGUGGUUGCAAUGGACCUUUUGGAACUUGAUGCUCCACCUUAACUCGUUGACAAGUUAGACUCCUUGAGAUAAACCCCUCUAUCUCUCUCUUCAUAUUGCUCCACCAAAAUGUAUCUCGAAGAUCAUGAUACAUUUUGGUACUCCUAGGAUGGAUUGCAAACGGUGUGUUGUGCACCUCCAUCAUGAUUUUAUACUUCAAGUCAGAAUCGUUAGGAACACAAAGUCUGGAGUUGACUCGAAGUAUUCCUUCUUCAUCGAUUCUUGCUUCUAGAAUAGCACCUUCUUGCACUUUCUUCUUCAUACGCAUUAGCUCCAGGUCUGUAGCUUGAGCAUCUUUAAUUUUAUCGAUUAAAGUCGGUUCUACUCGUAUAUUUGUCAUCAUCACAUGGGUCCCUGAAGUCUUUAACUCUAUCUCCAUCCUUUGUAAGUCAUACAAAAUGGGCAUUUGCGUUGACAAUAUCGCACUCAUACCCGCAUAUGAUCUUCUACUCAAUGCCUCAGCUACUGCGUUUGCUUUUCCAGGAUGGUAUUGAAUGGUAUGAUCAUAAUCUUUCAACAGCUCAAGCCAUCGUCAUUGCCAUAUGUUGAGUUCCUUUUGAGUGAAGAAAUAUUUGAGGCUUUUAUGAUCUGUAUAGAUCUCCACUUUCUCUCCAUACAGGUAAUGCCUCCAAAUCUUAAGCGCAAAAACGAUAGUUGCCAACUCUAGAUCAUGAGUAGGAUAAUUCCUCUCAUAUUCUUUGAGUUGUCGUGAGGCAUAUGCUAUGACCUUCCCAUGUUGCAUGAGAACACAUCCUAAACCUUUGCCUGAAGCAUCACUGUAGCUGACAAAUCACUCCGAACCAGAUGGUAUUGUCAGAACAGAUGCUGAAAUGAGUCUUCUCUUGAGUUCUUGAAAAGUCUUCUCACAUUCCUCACUCCAACAGAAUUUUGUAUCUUUCCGAGUUAGCUGAGUUAAUGAAGUAGCGAUUCGAGAAAACCCUUCUACGAAUCUCCGAUAAUAACCAGCUAAGCCAAGAAAGCUACGUACUUCGGUCACUGACUUAGGUUGCUCCCAGCUUUGAAUUGCUUCAAUCUUUGCCGGGUCAAUAGAUAUUCCAUGAUUUGAUAUUACGUGCCCAAAGAAUGCUACUUCCUCAAGCCAGAACUUGCAUUUCUUCAACUUGGCAUAUAACUUGUUCUCACGAAGCUUUUGGAGUAUCAGCCUCAAGUGUUGCUCAUGAUCUUCGUAGCUUUUAAAGUAAAUAAGGAUGUCAUCAAUAAAGACGACCACAAAGUGAUCCAAAUAUUCCUUGAAUACUCAGUUCAUCAUAUCCAUGAAAGCAACAAGAGCAUUAGUCAAUCCAAAAGACAUGACUAGAAAUUCGUAAUGCCCGUACCGAGUUCUGAAAGAAGUCUUUGGGAUGUCAUCGGUUUUAAUCUUUAAUUGAUGAUAUCUAGAACGAAGAUCGAUCUUUGAAAAGAAUUUGGCACCUUGCAAACUGGUCAAAUAGGUCAUCAAUACGAGGUAACGGGUACCUAUUUUUGAUGGUGACAUGAUUCAACUACCGAUAAUCAAUACAAAGUCGCAUACUUCCAUCUUUCUUCUUCACGAAUAGAAUAGGAGCACCCCAAGGAGACGUACUAGGAUGAAUGAAACUGAUGUCUAACAAUUCCCGUAGUUGGGUUUUUAACUCCUGAAGUUCAAUAGGAGCUGGGGCUUUGGAAAUAGGUUUUUUACCGGAUUCAAGGUAGAUACAAAAUUCAAUUUCACGCUCUGGGGGUAGGCCAGGAAGUUCUACAGGGAAUACAUCAGGUAAUCUAUUAACAAUAGAAAUAUCAUUCAAGACUGACGUAUUUUUGUUUAAAUCUGUGACAUGAGCUAAGAAAGCUUGACAUUCGUUUUUCAAUAAAUCAAUAGCUUUAUGGCUUGAGAUGACAGUGAUUGACAUUAAUGGUUUGGUUGCUUGAAUUCGCAUUAUAGGUUGGUUAGGAAUAUGAAAGCUAAUAACCUUAUAAAAACAAUCAAUUUUAGCAUGAUGAUUAGUCAACCAAUCAAUUCUUAAAAUCACAUCGAAUGUAUGUAUUUUUAAAGAGAUAAUACCGACAGGUAACGUGCGGUUACCGAUUUGAAUCAAACAAGACUUAUAAAUAGUGGAUGUAAUGAAGGUUUCUCCCAAUGGAGUUUCAACAGAUAAAUCAAAGUCUAAUUUCUCCGGAGUCAAAUUUAAACGUUGAGCGCAAGUAGGAGAAAUAAAACAAUGGGUAAAACUGGUAUCAAAUAAGGUAUAGACUUCGCUACAGUUUAUGAUUAGCUUACCCAUGAUACCUCGUUUGGAUUCCUCGUUUGUUGGGAGAUUACGACAAACGCUCUCCCUUAAACUAUCGAUUUUAUCUUGUCCGGGACGGCCUUUGAUGCCACCAUCCCAGCUGGACUUGACUUUGGUGCGCGACAAAAUUGGGCUAGGUGACCUUCUCUUCCACAAUUGUAACAUUCUUUGGACUGCUGCGUGUAGUUUGGACUAAUGUGUCCCUCUCCUCCGCAUUUGAAACAUACGACCGCCGGUCGUUCUCCUUCCUUAACAACAGGUGUUGGUACUGACGUCUUUCCAUCAUUAUUGAAUCUCCUCUUCUUAAAAUUUCCACUUCUAUUAUCUUGGCCAUGAUUACCACCGAAGUGGUUACCAUUUUUGGCAUGUUGAUUCCCUCCACGUUUGUUGUCACCGCUUCAAUGACUGCUACCACUGGUAUUAUCAAUUUAUCGGAUGCUCUCUCUUGGUUGGGUUGACUCAUUACCGUGUUCCAAUAAUUGAGCCCUAUUUACAACAUCUUAAUACAAACACAGUUUAUGAGAAAUGAGGUAUUGACGUAUUUCAGGUCUCAAACCUCAUAAAAACAUUCGCGUCAUUCUCUCCUCAUUAUCAACCAAAUGGGAUGCGAACCGGGAUAACUCGAUAAACUUAGCCUCGUACUGCGACACAGUCAUAUUGUUUUUCUCCAACUUGAUAAACUCUACCUCCUUCAUGUGAUGAAUACUUUCGGAAAAGUACUUGUCGUUGAACAGUUCUUGAAACUUUUCCCAAAACAUUUUGAGUGCAGAAGGCUGAGUACGUUUUACUGAUUCCCACCAGUAAUCUGCCUCUCCUCUGAACAUGAAGGUGGCAAAGGGAACCUUUUGCUCCUCGGAGCAUCCCAAGACAUCAAAUAUCUUAGUGAUCUUCUUUAUCCACAUCUCUGCCUUAAGUGGUUUUUUCUCUCCCAAAAACUCCGGUGGUCCUAGCUCCUUGAACUGUUUAGCAGUGACCAUCCGAGAGUUGCCAUUGUUUCCACCUAUAUUUUGAAUAGGAGCAGCUCUCGCCCGAUGUUGAAUGAAUUACAUGAAGCCUCUGAACAUCCCAUCAUUCAUCAUUUGACCGGUGUUGUUGUUUACCUGAGGAUUAUUGUCUUCCUGUUGCACAUUAUCCUGGAUAUUAAUUAUUGGUGACUCAAUGGUCUCAUGUGCUUCAUUGCUUAUCUCGACAUUUUUAGAUGUCAUUUUCAAACACUGUCACAAAACAAGGGUUAAUUGAUAUGCCACAUAUUAUCCCUAUACUCUGAACGACCAAUUAAAUACCAAAUAAACUUAGGUAGGUCAUACUAGCGAAGGAAUUCUCCAUCUCUCCCCUCCUAGUUCUUGUCUCACAUCUCAGCCAGUGAUCAUAUCCCUAAGCUUUGAUACCAACUGUGACGCCCCCAAAAUAGGUAUACAUCACCCAUCUUGGGUCGCCAAAUACAUGGUACUGAAUACAAAUACAAACUUAAUUAUACAACAUGAGCUGAGAGUUUUUACACGAAUAUUGUCUUCUAGACAAUAUCCAAACUCAAAUGGAGUCCUUAUUACAUUUAUUGUCACACUAUUUUAUAGAAUAGUGAGGACUACUAUAACACCAUCUCGGACCAUCACUCCGUUCCCCGACUAGUUCCGGCUACGUUCUCAUUUCCUGAAGAGAACAAUGGAAGUAAAAGGGUGAGCUCAACUAGCUCAGUAAGAAAUAUUAUAAAUAAGAUAAUGCAGAAUAAGUUAUUAUUAGCCUUCAACAAUGUUCAACUGAUAGAAUAUAAUAGACAUCAAGUUUAACUGCAGCGGAACAAGCAAUCCAUUAGAAGAGUCAAGUAGAGCAUGAUAUCUUCUAUCUUCUAUGAUUUAAAAGUUUAUCAUUAACUUUAUCGCUGGGACUCAGUUUAAUACAUAAAUCACAUCAUCAAAUCAUCCCUGCACUACGGGCCAAGGAUAUUCAUUAGUAUCACGUCCACAAAUUAUUCUUGCACUAUGGGCCAAGAAUAUUCGUGUAAUCAUCAAUGGUCAUGAUCAUACCGUAUUAUCCCUGGUCAUAAUCAUACCAAUUAACAGUCCAUCUAUGCACGUAAGCCAAAGAUGACUUUCAUCACAAUAUAAGCAUGGGGAUGAUGACAAUGAUAUAAGAAUUCAAUUAAAAGAAAUCAAAGGAUAAAUUUUUAAAGAUUUAUAACUUAAUUUAUCAAGAAUUCAAUAAUGUCCAAAUUGCCAACAUGAUACUGCUUUGUGGAGUAAAAUUCAAGAAUAAUAUCAUGUAUCAAAAAUAAUUUGGACAAAAAAAAUUAAUUUUUUUGGUGAAUAGUACCCCGUGAAUUGUACCCUGUGAAUAGUAUAAUAACCUGAUAUUUUCUAUAUAAAUAAAUAAGAAAUUUUACAUAAUUUUUUUAUUAUUAUUAUUUUAAAGGUGGGAAUAUGUGCCAAGUAAUGUGUGUGUGUAUAUAUAUAUAUAUAUAUAUAUAUGUGUGUGUGUGUGUGUGUGUGUGUGUGUGUGUGAGUGUGUGUGUGUGAUAAAUAGAAUUUAUUUAUUGCAUGAAUAAUUUCAACUAAUUUUAUUUUAGAAUUAUUGAUCAUUAUAAAGUAUAUUCUUAUAAUAAUUAAUUUUAUAGUAGAAAUAUUUUAUUAUUUAUUUUUCAUAAAAAUGUGAUUUUGUUGUCGACGUUGGGAUUUUUAGUUAUCCCUUUUCGUUACUUGUUCUUUGGUGUUCUCAUGGUAGGUGAGAUUUGUUUGAAAAAACAAGUGAAAAAGGUCCGACAUGUAUAAUGUCAACGAUGGACUGUUAAGAGUCGCCAGUUGGUGUUUUUAACUGGUUGCACCAACGCAACUGAAAAAGGUUUGCACAUUGACCUAGUGAUGUGACACUGCUAAACGGGUCUGUGAAACAGAGAUUCAUUUCGGUUUGGGGGCUUGAUUAUGCGGAGGGAAGGUGUUAGGCACCCCCCGACAUCCGUGUUGCCAUGGUGACCGCUACUUUUCAAAGAAACUAUUAUAUGAAUGUGUGUGUGUACGUGUGGAUCAAUGUGCAAUUAUUUAAAAGUAGUGCGGGGCCUCUUUCGCACCUAUAUACAAAGGGUUUGAAUUUUAUAGAAAAAUUAAGUUUUAAACAGAAUAUAACAAUGAAGUUUUGUAAAAGAGGUUUUUCAAACCCUUUGCUCAAUAGGAAUUGAGACCUUUUCAUACUUCUAUUUUAUUGUUAAAUGUUCGGCUUGUGUGCUUUUAUUUUCGAGAUGCGAGGCAUCUUCGAGAAAAUAAUAUAUAUUAGUGCCGAACUCCUCAUGGGCAUGACAGCCAUCCAAGGAAAUUCAGACACCGUAUAUAAUGUAUAGGUUACAGCUGAAAAUGUCCAUCACGGGAACCGAAUCUAGAUUCAGUAGACUGAAUCUGUGAUCACAUGAUUCCUAGGCUCACAAGAUACUGCAGUUUAUAUGAAAAGUAGUAAGCAGUUAUAUAUAUAAAAGCUGUAAAUAUAUAUAUACAGACAUGAUUAACCACCAUGAAGCAACUCCAUGGACGACGGCAUGCCCCGUCGCCAAUGACCUCAUUGGCGACGGCAGGGCCCUUCGGCAAUGAUUGAUUUUUUUUGUAGUGGGGAUCAGAAAUGUAAAUAUAUAAAAGCGGUAAAUAUAUAUAUAUAUAUAUACAUGAUCAACCACCACGAAGCAACUCCAUAAGGGAUCAGAAAAGUAAAUAAAGCAGUAAAUGCGAUCAACCGCCACGAGGUAAACUCCAGGCGGGACUAAAUGUAAAUAAAGCAGUAAAAGGCCUCGAAGUAAACUCCAGGCUUGACAAAUAUAUAUAUAUAUAAAAGUAGUAAACACACCAGAUAUAAAAUCCAGGCUCAUAAAUUAUAUAUAUAUAUAUAUAAAAAAGCAAGUAAACGCUCCGGAUGUAAAAUCCAGGCUCAUCAGACAGAGUCUGACAACAGUUUAUAUAUAGAAGUAUAUAUAUAUAUAUAUAUAUAUAUAUAUAUAUAUAUAUAUAUAUAUAUAUAUAAAAGAAAAUAAAUGCUCCAAACAUAAGUCUAGGCUUAAUCGAGGUAUAACUCGAUAAUGUUAGUUCAUAUAUAAAAUAUACACAUAUAAGUAUAUAUAUACAGACAAAAAUGAAAACUACGGACCGAAGUCCGGGCAUACGCACACAACACGACUCUCAAUGUGUAGAAUAGUAUGUACAAAGAUGAAGAGAAAGACUUUAUAGAGUGUGAGAAGGUUUGUAGUGGGCUGCCAAUGCAGGCUUCUAUGACUCUAAAUGGAUAAACACUCAGCUCUCACCGGUAAAAAGAUAGCUAUAUGUGAGCUAACAUGUGUUUAAAAUGAGGAAACACUCAAUAUGGGGUGUGUACAGAGCAAAUUGGACAGGGCUUCCUCGCCUCCCUUUUCUUCCAAAUGCCCACCCCAAGCCCUCUAUUUAUAGAGGGGGAAGCCGCAGGUGUACCUGCGGCAGCCACAGAUGCACCUGCGGCUGCUCGGGGUGCCCCGGGCUCCGCGGGUUCCAUCGUCUCGAAGUACGUGCACUCAUACACUAUAAUGUCCGCUCGAACUUGCAGAACUUCAAUCCAAGCAUCCGAACGAGGUAUAUAAGACCUUCUUCGUACCACUUGUGUCGAGAGUUACGUAAUGACAUGGAUUAGAGGUUGUACGAAGUCAGGAAGAGGGGACCAUGCCCAUGGUCUUCAAGCUUCAAAUUCUAUCUAGUGUGCUGCCACGCGUAAUAGUCACUCAGGAUUGGAACUCCUUGGUUCUUGUAGGACAUUGUUGUAUGUAUGUAUGUAUGAAGUGUUGAGAUGACGCGCAUGUGUUGAGGUGGCAAGAUGACGUUUGACUCCUCACCGGGAUUAUCUCCGGCUUGAGUUGAAAGCAGACGUUGUUGAGGGUUACAUCUGAGAUUGGACUGCUGCAAGUGUUUGAAUGUCGUAAGGUCAUCUGUAAGAGUGACUGUCUGCCCGGUGUUAGCUCCGUGUCUGAGGUAUAAGUGCCUCGGUAGGAGGUCUGAGAUUGAAGCUAAUUACAUUUGAAACAAGCAUUUUCGGAGUUAUCGCCGGAACUGCAAUAGCAUUCCUUGGGGUUAUCUCCAAGGACGAAACUCGGGGUUAUCUCCGAGGUUGGAAAUGACAUUCCCGGUGUGUGGUCUGGGGUUGGAAAUGAUACUCUUGGUGUGUGUUCCGAAAUUGAGACUGAACUUCCGGUUGUAUCCGGAAUAGAUGUAAGCUGUCUUCCAAGGUUAUCUCCGAAGGACGAAUUUGCCUUCCUGCAAUGUUAGUAACAGGUGUGCAAAAAAUUUCAAGUGUCUACAGAUGCCCCUCUUUAUCAUAUUCAUGCAAUGCAAGGCAUGGAUAGGCUAAAGAAUCUUAGACACUUGAAAUGCAACAAGAUAAAUAUGAUGCUAUGUGCAGUAACAUGAUGCAAAUGUAUGAUGCAUGAAUGAGAUGAUUGUCGGUUCCCUGUUAAUCCCGUUGGGAUGAUAAUUAGUGAUGUCUUGGACAUGCGAUUUGUGACACCCCCAAACCCAGGUACUUCAUUCCCAUAGGAUUUGGUGUUCACUUAAUCAAACAUUCAUAUCUAAAUACCCAAUCACAAUAAAAUUGAAUAAUAAAACCUUCCCCAUUAAAGGGUUACAUAAUAAAAAUCUUCCAGGUUGUCUAACCUUUAAAUACAAUCAUUCAAAUGCGGAAAAUAAAUAAACUUCAUUACAACCAUUCAAUUAAAAUCUGAUAAUAAAAUAUCAACAUAUUACAAGUCUUCAAUACUUGUUCAUCUUUCCUUUUCCCUUACUGGUGCUAGGUACAUCAACCUUCUCAUCUUUAACUGUAAUAGUUAUAUAAGCAAGAGUGAGCAAACAAAGCUCACUUGAACAACAAUGAAUAAAAAAAAUCUUUACAACAACUGUAAUUAAGAGGCUCAAUAGAAAUGAACAAUAUGGUCUAUCAACAUUCUGAAGUAUAUAACUGAGGGUCCUAAGACCACGAACUAUGUCCAUAGUUAUAAGUAAUUUUUCAACUUAAACUUUAACAGUCAUAAGACUAUAGGGACUCCUUGUACUUAGGGGGAUCAACACUUCGUAUAAUGUAUUGUGCACAAACAUUUCAAUGCUAAGCGUAAAUUACCCCUAAUAAUAGGGUUGUUCAUCUCAGUAUUUAGAAUACAAGUCCACACCAAAGUGAGUUUGGUUUGGAUACAUUUCAAGGUAAUUUGGAAUUCAAUGAACAUCAACUAAGGAUUAGUUGAAUAAAAUUAAUUAUACUAUGGAAUACUCAUAACUGAAUCGACAAGGUAAAUUAAAAUCAUGCUUUAGGAAUAAUCUAAUAGCGUACAUAUCGAAUAACUAUAAUACACCUUGCUUGAACAAUAUUAAGCCAAGGUUAUUUAGAAUUGAUUACUAAGCAUGCAUAGCAAUUUGAACGAUAAAACUGUUCAACAUUAGUAUAUCAGAAUAUAUAAAUUUGCAUACUAAAUAACAAGUUAAAUACAAUAAUAACUUGCUCAAUAUCAAAAUAAAGUUUAGAAAUCUUGCAUCAUUAUAUUGUAAUCGAAUUAGGAACAAUAAUUGGCUCAACGAAACAAUAGAUUUAGAGAACUUGCCUUGCUUGUAGGCUAAACUGAACAAUUCGAAUCAUAAUACCCUAUAUAUAUAUAUAUAUAUAUGUCAUCAUGACAUAGUUAGUCACUACCACAUUACAUACAUAAUAACUAAGUACAUUUAUCAUGUAAGAUUUGAUUUUUAAUCACAUAAUCAAAUUACAAAACUAGUUAAUUGUUAAUAGCAUGCUCAUUCUUGGUAUAAAAAUACUAAAAUCAUAAUUUAACAGUCCUACUAUUAACACAUAACAACUUCUUCAGACUUUGUGUACAAAAAUUACACUGUCUGACCAUUCUACUAACUCGCGCUGUGGCGCCACAGUUUAUAUUUUGGGUCGGCGCUGCGGGGCGGUGAUGGCGCUGUGGCGCGAGACACAAGCCAUUAAGUGGCGCUGCGGCAUGGCGCCGACGCUGUGGCGCGAGAACUAUACUACGAGGCCGUGCUGCGGCACCAAAUUGCAGUCAUCGGCGACUUGCUACGGAAAUCACAUGAACAAAGCCAAUUUUGGCCUACAAGCUACUUUCUAACAGCCUAAUUAACAUGUAAUUCAUAUAGAGACUUCAUAUACACAUAAUUUAAAGACUCUUAACAUGUUUCUACACAUAAAACAACAUAAACAACGAAUUUAAAACAUCCAAUUUCAUUGUUUUUGAUAAAACCUCACUUUUUAAUGUUUUUCAAUGAAAAUCAACACUGUGAUUUUGUUUUUCAACCAAAAUAGUUAAUUUAAAAUACCUUGUUUAUGAUUAUACAUACUCUUUCAAAUUCAAUAGUCAAUUUAUAAAUUAAACAACUAAUUAAACCUUAAUUUUGCUUUAAACCAAACCAUAUUCAUAUAUUCAUAUAAACUCACUGUAAUAUAGUUUUCUUCACAAAUCACAUACAUAUCAUAAAUUCAUUGACUAUACUCAUAUAUAAACUUAUGAAAAUAGUUUCACAACACUAGUUUAUCAUAUAAAGCCAUAUACAAUCAAACAAUUUAUCCUUUCACAAGAAUUAUAUAGAGAAUUUUGGAAGAGACAACUAAAAUUUUAAAGAACUUGAAAAGGGUAGGAUGAUACCUUGUUUUAGAAGAUGAUACUUUUCUCUUUGAUCAACAAGCUUUUCUCUAACUUCACUCUCAAAUUCUCUAGGAUUCUCUCAAGUUUUCUCACACUUUUCUUCUUCUCUUCUUUUUUUCUUCUUCUGAGUUCUUCCUCUCUAUUCUAAUCUUACGUACUAGAGUUAUAACAUAUAAGAUAUAAUAUAUAUUAAUUAUAUAAUAUAAAUAUAAGUAUAACUGAUAUCAGUUAUUAUAUUUUUGAAAAUCAAAAGCCAUAAGGCUUGUUUGGUUACCCACUUAAAAUAUAAUCAUUUAAUCCUUAUGCCUUGUUUGGUAAAACACAAUUAGAUUAAAGACUUAAUAGGCAUUAGGCCUUGUUUGGCAAAACUGAAUUAAACUCAUUUAAUUUAUUUUAAUAACUUCUUUAUAAAAGGUUAUUUGUCACACUUUUAUUUAAUUAAAAUUUUUAAUAAUCAAUUAAAUUAAUUCUAAUAACAAUUUAUUAAAUUACUUUAACACAUAAAUCAAUAUCACAAAAUUAUAAUUUUCUUUAUAAUUAUAACUUUAUUUAAUGAACUAACACAUCCUUUUAAUUACAAAUUCAAAUUAAAAUAUAAUAAUUCAUUUAAUCAAAACUCUCUAACUUAAUAAUUAAAUUAAAUUAGAAUAUAAUAAUUAAUUUCCUUAAUUAUUUAUUUGACAAAUAAUUAACCAAAUCGAAUCAAAUUUGAACAAUUAUUUAUUCAACAAUAAACACAUCCAUUAAAUACUUAUAUAAUUCAAUAAAUAUUUAAUAUAAUAAUUUAAAAAUUCUAGAAUGUUACACGAUCCAAGUCUUCAAGGAUGUUGACGUUGGGGCUAUCACCAAAAUCUUGAAUCCUAGACACAGAUUUCUACUCCAUAGAGGUGCCUCUUGUGUACAAGAGAUUUGUGGGGGAGAAUGGAAAAUCCGAAAUUUUACGAAUAAAGAUUUAAUUUUCUCAAAAUAUUUAUAUUAUGGUGUGAAUGUGAGAUAAUGUUAUAGUUGUGGGUAGUAUUUAUAAAUUUUGCAAAGUAUGCAAGUUGUUGUAUUAUAUUCGAUUGGUCGGGGAAUAUUCAUUUUAGAAGGGAAUAUUCGUAUAACGACACAAUUAUUGGUGGACCCCACAACGGAAUUAUUGUCGGAUUGAGAAAAUGACAAAAAUAUUAUUAUGAAAAUAACGGCGGAAGUUUACCGUUAAUACUGUUGAACUACUCGGUAGUAAAAGUACAGUAAUACGCGUGGUUGCAUAGUAGCACACGGUAUUGGUUAUUGAUGCUUACGUGAUAAGUCACUCAGUUAUACUUAAUUAUUGCUACAGUAAUUGCUGUAUCAUAUCUCUCAUAUUAUUGAUUCAAUUAUUGUCACAGUAUCAUCUGCAUUAUAUGAUAUUUUAUUAAAUCAAUAAUUGAGACGACAAAGUUGUUCAUAUUAUUAAAUUGCAAUAUUUACAAUGUCUAGAAGUUCUGUCAAGCAGAGGUUUGGUCACCUAAUUGCGCACCAAUAGGGAGAAAUCCUUAUUGGAAAGCUCCCUUUUUCCUGGGAACAACCUGGUUAUUAAAUAUUGUGAGUUAUAAUAUUAAUGAUGAAUAAGCUCUUGUUGAUUAAAGAUUAAUUUGAUAGUUUCAUUGUGUUGGGAUUAUUUGUGUUAGUAGAAAUCGACAUCUAUUCCAAUGAUAAUUGAUGUCUGGAGGUUAUAUUGUUCAAUCAGGUAUUUGGGACACUUUUUGUGUCGGAGUACUAUUCAUGAGUUACUAUUCACGAGUUACUAUUCAUGAGUUACUAUUUAUGAGUUAUUAUUCACGAGUUACUAUUCAUGAGUUACUAUUCACGGGGAACUAUUCACCCGAACAAUAUAUUUCUUUUCGGUCCAAAUUAUUUUUGGUGUCAAUAUUAUUCCAUGAAGAGUUGUGCUAACUUUUCAGACCGUUGGUUGAAUUUAUUAUAGUGAAUCAGUAUGGAUCGCUGGUUUAAAGAUUUAAUAGUGAAUCAGUAUGGACCGUUACUUUAAGUUUUAAUAGUAAAUCAAUCUGGAUCGUUCGUUUAAAAGUAAAUCAAUCUGGACCGUUUAGGAAUUAGUUACUAUUCAGUCCAUUCUCCUAUAAAUAGAAGCUCAUUCCUUCAUUAUGUCUUACGAAUUCACUAAAACUCUAGAGAGAGAAAUUAUAGAGAGAAAGAAGAAGAAUAUUCUGCUACUUCACUACUUUUAUAUCCAGUUUCUUUUACGGUAAGGGAUAUUAUUUGUUGUACUCGUAAGGGGUAUUAUUUCUUUUGUAUUCAUGAAAAGAACUUCUGUUAUUCCAUUCUUUAUUAUUCUGUUGGAAUAACCUAUAUACGCGGGAUACCCUAUACUUGGUGAAAUUCUUCUGUUAUUCCAUUAUUUAUUAUUCUGUUGGAAUAACCUUUAUACGCGGGCUACCCUAUAAUUGGUGAAAUUCUUCUGUUAUUUCAUUUUUUAUUAUUUUGUUGGAAUAUCCUGUUUGUGCGUUUUACGCCGGACCUGGUUCCAUCUUUAUUAUUUUGUUGGAAUAUCAUGUCUGUGCGUUUUACGCAGGACCUGGUUUCAUCUUUAUUAUUUUGUUGGAAUAUCCUGUCUGUGCGUUUUACGCCGGACCUGGUUCCGUCUUUAUUAUUUUGUUGGAAUAUCAUGUCUGUGCGUUUUACGCCAGACCUGGUUUCGUCUUUAUUAUUCUGUUGGAAUAUCCUGUCUGUGCGUUUUACGCCGGACUUGGUUCCGUUAUUUAUUAUUCUGUUAGAAUAACCUGCCUGUGCGGUAUAUCACAUGCCUAGUGAUUUCUUUUGUUUUUCCAUUCUUUAUUAUACUCAGUUGGUUGAAGUUUUGACUUCUAUACUCCAUGAAAUUAGUGGAAUAUCCUUGAUAUUUGCACUUCAUCCUGUAUCUUUUAAUGGAAAUAUUCUUCUGAGCAUUCUUGAAUUUUACUCUACAACGAAGUAUCAUGUUGACAAUUUGGACGUUAUUAGUUCCUGGAUAAAUUAUUUCUUGAACUUGUUUUAUUGAAUUCUUAUAUCAUUGUCAUCAUCUUCAUGUUUAUAUUUUAUUGAAAGUUAUAUGUGUCCUAUAGUGCAUAGAUGGACUUGGUAUGAUUAUGACCAGGGAUUAUUCAGUAUAAUCAUGACCGUAAUGUUACAAAUGAUGUGGUAAAAGUCCUCAUUGGCCCGUAGUGCAUUGAUGGACAGUUGUUGGCAUGAUCAUGAUCAUUGAUGAAUACACGAAUAUCCUUGGCCCGUAGUGCAUGGAUAAUUUGUGGUUGUGAUACUAAUGAAUAUCCUUGGCCGUAGUGCAGGGAUGAUGUGGAUUAUUUAUUAAGCUGAGUCUCAGCGAUAAAAGUGAUGAAAAACCUUUUAAAUCAUAAAAGAUAGUAGAUUUUAUUCUCUACUUGACUCUUUUAAUGGAUUGCUUGUUCCGCUGCAGUUAAACUUGAUGUUUGUUAUAUUGUAUCAGUUUAACACUGUUGAAGGCUAACGAUAAUUUAUUCUGCAUUAUCUUAGUCAUAAUAUUUCUUACUGGGCUAGUUGAGCUCACCCUUUUACUUUCAUUGUUCUCUUCAGGAAAUGAGAACGUAGCAGGGACUAGUCGGGGAACGGAGUGACGGUCCAGAUGAUAGCAUUAGUAGUCCUCACUAUUCUAUGAAAUAAUGUGAUAAUAAUUGUAAUGAGGACUUAUUCUGAGAGUGGAUAUUGUCUAGAAGAUAAUAUUUGUAUUAAAACUCACAGCUCUCUUGUUAUAUAUUAAAGAUUGUAUUUGUAUUCUGUACCAUGUAUUUGGCGACUCAGAAUAGGUGAUGUAUACCUAUUUUGGGGGCGUCACAGAGAAAGCUUUGCCUGUUUGAGGAUGUGUAUAACAUAUCCCACCAUCCUGUCGGAGUUACUGCCAACAGGAUGUACUUGUCAGGGUUGCCUGACAUUCGUUGAUGUAUGUAUCACCGGAUAGAUCCCUGCUGGGUGCAUUGUCAAGGCUGCUUGACCUUUAUUGAUGUGUGUAUCAAUGGUUGUAUCGCGUUGUGACCCCCGCCGGGGUACUUUGAUAUGGAUAAGUUACUUCGAUGGGUUUACUUGCCACCGGCUGAAAUAACGUCAAGGUUGCUUGACCUUCAUUGAUGUGUGUAUCAAUAGUUGAAUUACGUUGUAACCCCAUACUUAGAUGUUUGAAAGUGUUACGUUGUGACCCCCGCCGGGGAUACCUUUUUAAUUCGCAGCUUCGACGUUGUAACCCCCGCCGGGGAUACUUCAUUAUUUCAUAACUUCGGCGUUGUAACCCCCGCCGGGGAGAGUUUUAGGGUUGUGACCCUGCAUUGACGGCAUCAGACCUUUGUUAGGUAAUGCCGAGCAUGAUUUAUAAAAGCUGAGGCCACUAGUAUAAUAUACCUUGUAUGCAAGCGAAUACCAAUGAGUGAGAUGUGGAGCCAGAGUUUGGCCCAUGAAAACAAGGAUUUCAUGCUAUUCCGCUCAAUCGCGUAGCGUUUUUAUUCCUGAUUUGGCCUUUUCAGCUUGUGAGACCUCUUUUGCAACUCUAACUGGAUCGAUCCGGAGGUGUGGGACCCAUGUAGGGGUGUCGCAGGUACACCUGCAGCAGCCGUAGGUGGACCUGCAGCUAACCGUGGCUAUUGAGCUUGUGAGACCUCCUGUAAAGAUUGUAGGUUGCUUUCAUAAGUCAUUUUCAAGCUACGCGAUGAAGGAAAUCUAAGAGCUCUUCUUCAGACCUGCUGAGUUCGGGAAACUUUCUCCAUAUUCUGCCACCAUACAAGCGUUCUUCACUGUCCUGGUAACAUAUGCAUGUAUUCUUUUCUAGUUUCUAUCCGUUGGAAAAUGACUUAUCACAUGAAAUGCGUUUAGACACAUAAUAGUGAAUAUGCAUGCUGAUAGGACUUUACAAAAAAUAUUCAACAUAGUAAAUGUUAGUAUUAAACCAUGCUGAACAUAAUGAUGUGAAAAAAAUUGACUUUUGAAACAGUCAAAUUGGCACCUUUUACUGUCAUUUCUUAUCCUAUUUGAGGACAAAUGAGUAAAGGUGGAAAAGUAAAAUAACCCUUGUAAUUAGAUUACACUUACGAAUUUUUUACUGUGAUGUAUUAAAUGCAUUUAGGAUGUAUAUGACUGUUGGUAGGUGUGCUACUGAAUGACCACCUAGUCAUGCCUAUGUGCAUGUGGAUAGCCCCAUUUACUAAGGGGGCUAUGGAAAAAAUUUUCCAAAAUGUAGGCAUUGGGUUGUCAUGCAUUUUUAACUCUACUGUAGAUGUAUUUUAAAACAAUGCAUGCAUGCAUGUAAUCAUAAAAUGCAUUUUGAAAAGCUCCAGGUAAGAAUUUACCACACCCUUUCUAGGUGAUUUGGAGACUUGUUGUCCAGAUAUUAUGGAUCUGGAUUAGCCGAGUAGUUCCCGCAGGACCACUUCUAGUGUACGAAAGAGGGUUUCUGAAGUGCCUCGACCUCGUUCUGUUAGACAACCUCGUCGUUUGGUGGAUGCGGUGAUACGUCCUAUUCGGGUUGAAGUGUCGAAUGUCGAGGACGAGGAGGAGGAUGAACCAGUUGAGGUUCCUACUCCUGCUGUACGUGUUCCCCGUAGGGAUUUGCGAGGUAUUCAAGUGGCAAACCCAGAUCUUCUGGGUGACUUGAGUCGACAUCCUUCAGUUUACCUGCACGUAAAUGAGGUAUGAAGUUAGAUCUUAAUCUUCCUUAUUUCCUAUUGAUGAGGAGCAAAUGGUUCUGAUGUUGAUCUGCAUUUGAUGCAGGUUCCUGGCUUUUCACAGCCUCGAGGGAAUUUGUUUAGCAUUCACUCUAUGUAUCAGGCUUUGCAUGAUGACUAUAGAGCGAUUAUAUAUGGCUGGGGAUUUGGGAUGUUCUUUUCCAUUCUUCCUUGUCAUUGUCCCUGGGGUUACCUCAGGGCAUUGUCUGAGCGUUGGUUUCACUAGACUCAGUCACUCCAUUUGCUGGACUAUGAGGUGAUGAUGAUGCCGAUGGAUUGGGGGUUUAUCACAGGUAUAGAGUUUGGAGGGGAUUCAGUGCCUUGUACGACGAAUAUAACCCCUACUGCCGCUAGAGCCUUGUUGGGAGUUCCAGCGGAGGCGCUCAAGGGCAGGACUGUACGUACAGGUCCUUUAAGCGUAGAUGCUAUGAGCGGGCUGUUGAGUGAGCCUAUACCCGAUGAUGUGAGAGUCAGGGAUCGCAUUCUCCGGUGAUUGUUCCUGAUGAUCAUUAGGGGCUGCUUCAUAACAGAUAACUCUUCUACGGUGUCCUUCACUUUGAUCAGUGCCACUCGACACGUGGACCAUACAGGAGACUAUGAUUGGGGUUCCUACACCUUUUCCUACUUCCUCAGGGGAAUACGCAUGCGAUCGCAGGGCUUGAUCGAGGCUUGGUUAGGAUUCUACCCAUUUCUACUGGUGAGUAUUUCUCUUGUCUUUUCCCAUGUACAGGUUAAGAGCAUUGACUGAAAGCAGAUGUUUGCCUUUGUGUUGGCAGUUUUGGGCCUAUGAGAGGCUUCCAUGUUUGCGACUUACGAGCGUGCUAGGUUUAGACACCUAUCCACGAGGACAGAGAUGGCUUCAUUCAAUACUGGCGGAGGUCCCUAUUACUGAGGGUUUCACUCAUUGUCGCCUACAGCUGGAGUUGUUGACAGCGGAUGUUAUCACAUAGGUUCCCUAUUCUGGGGAGCAUUUAAGUGUUGGAUUUGAGGAUGGGUACCCGACUGGGGUCGAGUAUGUGAUUUCCACCCGUAGGAUUCCUCUCUUUAUAGAUGGAGGAUGUGAGCUCUAUUUAGGAGAGCAUGCUAUCAGGAGCACUACAGGAAAGAUUUGCAUGCCGAUCUUGCCUCCUGCCAGGCGUUAUUGGCCUACUUUGUAGUCACCCGUCAUUGAUAUCCCAUUAUUGGGGAUUGACGGCUUCACAUUAUCAGAGGGUCCCUGCACUCAGGAGAUGUUCCAGCAUUAGUGGUUCCCUCGUACCAUUGGAGCUCAGACCCGCGCCACACAGUUUAUGGGGGUUAUGGUUUCAGGAUCCGUGAUGAUGACGGAUUGGCUAGCCUGUGUUAGAGAUCCGACUCAUGUGACACAGAUUGACAGUUUGACCCGACAGUUGGACCAGGCACAUUUCUUUAUACGACACUUGAGUAGAGAUCCUUUAGAGGCAAACACUUUUGAUCCUCCUAGCUCUGGCGCUGGCCCCUCAGGUGACCCAUAUGGUUUUGUCGGUGCAAAACCUCUCUUGUAUAGGCCUGACAUCCUUAUAGAUAGAGAUCCAGUGACUAAGGAGGAGUUACAUCAGAUGGACACAAUUGACGAUGUAGACAUCGAUACCAUUGACUUCUUCUGAUGUAUAUUUCUUGUUCUCUCUUUUGAUAGGCCUCUUCUAGAUGCUGGGUAGCUUCGCCCAAUUCUCGCUAUAUCUUUUGAUAGGCCUCUGUUAGUUGUUGGGUAGCUUCGCCCCAUUUCCCUGUAUUUUAGCUGUACAGAGAUGUAUUAGAUGAUGAUAUACUUAGAAUGUAUGUACAGUUUUCCAUUCCCUAUAUCAUAUUGCCAUCUAUUGUAUCAUGCAUGUUAUUAUAUUAUGCAUAUGUAUGUAUGUCCAGAGAUAUUCAGCAUUGACCCCUGGAUGGUCUUAUGACACGGCCCGUACAGAUGUCUUCUUCGACCGUUAGCCUUAUUGAUCAUACCCCAUCAUUUUUUAUGGCAUCUGGUAUGCGUUCAUGGUAUGAUAGUAUGUCACCACCAGACAGGGUGACUGUAGAUCAUUUGUUGUAGCAUACUAUGACCCUGUUGAUGUUUCAGGUUCCCACAGGAUUCGUGGAGGGUAUGCUAGAGCAUUGGGUAUCGGAGAGACAGGUUUUCCGACUCGGGACCCAGGAGUUGACUUCUACUCUGGAGGAGUAUGCAUGGUUGACGAUGCUGCCGUUGGACAGACCUUGCGUGCACAUGGCGAUCAGAGACAUGAGUAGGCAGUUCAUGACCCUUACCGGAUUGAGGCACAGGGUGGUACAUGAUGAGAUUACAACUUGCCACGUGAUAUCCUAGUGCUUUCUAUUUGACAGAUUUGGCUCUGAGGAUAGUUAUGCAAGGUAUUCUGGGGAUUUCACCACACCAGAGGAUCAUUGGCGUUUGGCCAGAGUGGAUGUACUGCUACUGUGCGUAUUGUCAUACGUCUUCAUGCCACAGUACAUGGAUGAGUUGGAUAUUGGCGUCAUUAUGGCAGUGAGAACUCUCAGGGAGGGUCACACUAUCAUACCGAUGAUUAUGGCAGAGACUCUGAGGUCGGCCACAUAUUGCUGCACUUAUCCGGCAGAGUGUUCAUAGGAAGCUCGGUCAUGCUGUACGUGUGGUUUAUGUCAUACUUGGGAUCGAUUGGCACAUUCAGACAACAUGGGUAUUGUUUCACCCAUGAUAUAGCCAUGUCGUACUCCUUUCAGCAUGUGGAGUGUACAAAUGUUGCAUCUUGGUCAACUUUUCUGGCAGGGAUUGGAGAUCCAUUUACUAUACAGCCGUGUACAGGGCUUAGCUCACCCUACAGUUUCAUUACUCAUGCUCCGGGCAUGGAUUAUCUCCCUCUAACUGGUUUGAGAGGGAUGAUCAACUACCACCCACUGGUUGUGAUGUGUCAUUUUGACCAGUUUCAGGAUUUCUAUCCAUUUGAGGGGGCAGUGAGUCAGCGCUUCGCUUAUUGACAUUUAUCAUCAGUAGACAGAUCUAGGUUAUAUACUUGUUGGGAUCAGCGAGAGCUAGCUAAGUUUUUUGUCAGUCAUCCGGGUUAUUCUGCAGAGUAUUCAGCAUGGAUGGAGACAGAGACUGCAUCGACUAUGGUAGUAACCACAGUGCAGGAUAUUGAUUCCUACGAUGAGGAGCCUAUGGAGGAGGCUGACAUUCCCAUCGAUGGGGACUUAACUGCUAUGCUGCCAGCAUUUGUGAUGGAUUCUCCCACUUCAAGUGCCACUGUUAUUUAGUAUUCAACACAUCAUUUGGAGUAAAGCUUACAUCUGAUGACCUAUGUGAGAGAUCAGGCUAGGGCCUCGAUGUUGACAACUCUUGAUGGGAGAGACGCCACUCUAUUAGAGAAGGAUGAGGCUAGAUCAGCCAGGGAUGCAUUGAUUACAGAGUGGGAUGUCGACCUAUCUGCUAGGGAUGUGGCCAUUGCAGACAGUACCUCCGUGAGAUCCCAUACGACUGGCAUCAUUGUCAAUAUGAGUGCAUAAAUUGAUGAGCAUCAUGUCACCAUGCAGUCAGCCUCUGAUCUGCUAGCUUGUGUAGAUACCAUUGGGUAGGAGCUUGCAGCGUUACCUCGUUCUUCAGAGGGAUGCUAUGUUAGAUCUGAUAGUCCGUAUACACACAGAUCCGUAGAUAGCUUUGUAUUUUCCUACACAAACUAGCUUAGAUAUUUUGUCAUGUACAUCACAGAUGUAUAUAUUGUCGACAUCGGGAUUUUUGAGUGUCCCUUUUCGUUACUUGUUCUUUGAUGUUCUCAUGUUAAUGUGAGAUUUGUUUGAAAAAAACAAGUGAAAAUGGUCCGACAUGUAUAAUGUCGACGAUUUGACUUUAAGAGUCGCCAGUUGGUGUAUUUAACUGGUUGCACCAACACAAUCGGAAAAGGCUUGCAUAUUGACCCAAUGAUUUGACACUGCUAGACGGGUCUGUGAAACCGAGAUUCAUUUUGGGUCCGGGGGCUUGAUUAUGCGGAGGGAAGGUGUUAGGCACCCCCCGACAUCCGUGUUACCACGGUGACCGCCACUCUUCAAAUAAAUUGUUAUAUGAAUGUGUGUGUUUGUGUGUGUGUGUGGAUCAAUGUGCAGUUAUUUAAAAGUAGUGCGAGGCCUCGUUCGCACCUAUAUACAAAGGGUUUGAAUUUAUAGAAAAAUUCAGUUUUAACCACAAUAUAACAAUGACUUUUUGUAAAAGAGGUUUUUCAAAUCCUGUGCUCAAUAGGAAUUGAGACCUUUUCAUACUUCCAUUUUAGUACUAAAUGUUCGGCUUGUUUGCUUUUAUUUUUGAGAUGCGAAGCAUUCUCGAGAAAAUAAUAUACAGCAGUGCCGAACUCCUCAUGGGCAUGACAGCCAUCCAAGGAAAUUCAUUCACUAUAAAAUAAUGUACAGGCUGUUUACAGCUGAAAAAUGUCCAUCAUGGGAAUCGAAUCUAGAUUCAGUAAGCUGAACUUGUGAUCACAUGAUUCCUAGGCUCACAUGAUACUAUAAUUUGUAGGGAAAGAAGUAAGCAGUUAUAUAUAUAUGUAAAAGCUGUAAAUAUAUAUAUAAACAUGAUCAACUACCACGAAGUAAACUCUAGGCGGGAGCUGUAAAAGCGAUCAACUGCCAUGAAGUAAACUCCAGGCAGGACAAAAAUGUAAAUAUAUAUAUAUAAGCAAUUAAACGCUCCAGACCGAAGUCUAGGCUCAAUCGAGGCAUAACUCGAUAAUGUUAGUCCGUAUAUGAAAUAUAUAAAUAUAUAAGUAUAUAUAUACAGACAAAAAUGAAAACCACGGACCGAAGUCCGGGAAAACACACUCACACGACUCUCAACGUGUAUAACAGUGUGUGCUAAUAUGAGAAGAAUGCUUUAUAGAAUAUAAGAAGGCUUACAGUGGGCUGCCAAAGUAGACUUCUAUGACUUUAAAUGGAGAAACACUCAGCUCCCGUCGGAUAAAAGAUAGUUAUAUGUGAGCUAACUAGUGUUUAAAAGUGAGGAAACACUUAAAAGAUGUGUAUGCAGAGUAAAAUGGACAUGGCUUCCUCGCCUUUUUCCCUCCCUCUUCCUCUCAAAUGGCUGACCCCAAGUCUUGUAUAUAUAGACGUUUGGCCGCAGGUACACUUGUGGCAGCCGCAGUUGUACCUACGGCUGGUCGUGAUGCAUCUGAGCCUCGCAGGUCCCGUCGUCUCGUAGUACAUGUACUCAUGCACUGUAAUGUCCGCUCGAACUUGUAGAACUUCAAUCCGAGCAUCCUAAUGAGGUAUAUCUGACCUUCUUUGGAUCGCUUGUGUCGAGAGUUAUGCAAUGACAGGGAUUAGAGGUUGUACGAAGUCAGGAAGAGGGGUCUAUGCUCAUGGUCUUCAAGCUUCAAAUUCUAUCCAAAUCACUGUCACACGUAAUAGUCACUCGGGAUUGUCAAUCCUCGGUUCUUGUGGGACAUUGUUGGAUGUAUGUAUGAAGUGUUGAGACGACGUGCCAUUGUCGAAGGAACAAGAUGACGUUUGACUCCUCGCCGGGGUUAUCGCCGGUUUGAGUUGAAAGUAGAUGUUGCUCAGGGUUACAGCUGAGAUUGGACUACUUGUUGGUAUGCCGCGAUAUCAUCUUGUUGAGAUGGUAAGAUGAUGUUGUGACUCCUCACCGGGGUUAUCGCCGGUUUAAGCGAAAAGCAGACGUUGCUCAGGGUUACAUCUGAGAUUGGAGUGCUGCUUGUUUGUAUGUCUCACUGUCAUCUAUGGAUGUUCCUGUUUGCCCAUUGUUAACUUCGGGUUUAGGGUGUGUGUGCCUCGACAGCAUGUCUGGGGUUGAAGCUAAUUGCAUAUGUUUGAAACAAGCAUUUUCGGGGUUAUCACCUGAACUGCAAUGGCAUCUCUUGGGCCUAUCACCAAGGAUGGGGUUGCUACUCCCAGUGUUGUCUCUGGGAUUAGAACUGAGCGUCGCUCUGUUAUUUCCGAGACAGAACUAUCUUCUCCGGUGUUGUUGCCGGUCUUUUGAUCUGCAUAUCUCGGGGUUAUCUCCGAGAUUGGAAAUGACAUUCCCGGUUUGUGUUCUGGGGUUUGAUAUGAUGUUCCCGAUUUGUGUUCCGGGUUGGAACUCAACUUCCGGUAGCAUCCGGAAUGGAUGUAAGCUAUCUUCCAGGGUUAUCUCCAAAAGAUAAAUCUACCCUUCUGCAAUGUUAGUAAUAGGAGCGCAGAAAAUUUCGAGUGUCUACAGAUGCCCCUCUUUAUCAUAUUCAUGCAAUGCAAGGCAUAUAUAUGAUAAAGAAUACUAGACACUUGAAAUGCAAGAAAGAUAAACAUGAUGUUAUAUGCAGCAACAUGAUGCAAAUGCAUGUAGAAUGCAUGAAUGAUUGUCAGGUAAUCCUGUUGGGAUGACAAUCAGUGAUGGCUUGGACAUGCGAUCCAAGUCUCCAAGAAUGUUGACGUUGGGGCUAUCACCAAAGUCUUGAAUCCCAGACACUGGCUUAUAUUCCAUAGAGGUACCUCUUGUGUGUAAGAGAUUUGUGGGGAUAUAGCUUUCUCUGUUUGAUGAUGUGUAUAACAUAUUCCCUCACUCUGUCAGAGUUACUGCUAAUAAUUUGUUGUUAUCAGGGUUGCCUGAUCUUCGCUGAUGUGUGUAUCACCAGAUAAAUCCAUGCUGGGUGUAUUGUCAAGGCUGUUUGACCUUCAUUGAUGUAUGUGUCAAUGGUAGCACUGCGUUGUAGCCCUUGCUGGGGAAGGUUUCUUUGAUGGGUUUACUUGCCAUCGGCUGAUAUGAUGUCAAGGCUGCUUGACCUUCAUUGAUGUGUGUAUCAAUGGUUGUAUUGCGUUGUAACCCCCACCGGGGAUACGUAGAUGCUUGCAAGAUGUGCGUUGUGACCCCCGCCGGGGAUACGUAGAUGUUUGAUAACUUCGGCGUUGUAACCCCCGUCGGGGAGGUUUGAUAUAUCGUGGUUUUGCGUUGUAACCCCCGUCGGGGAGAUUUAGGGUUGUGACCCUGUAAAUGACGGCAUCAGACCUUUGUGGAGUAUUGUCGAGCAUGAUUUGUGAAAGCUGAGCUCAUUGGAAUAGUAUACCCUGCAUUCAGGCGAAUACCUUUGAGACGACGGGAGUUUAACUUUGACCGACGAGAAAUCAGGAUUUCAGGCUAUUCCGCUCAAUCACGUAGCAUUUUUAUUCCUGAUUUGGCCUUUUCAGCUUGUGAGACCUCCUUUGCCACUCUAACUGGAGCGAGCCAGAGGUGUGGGGCCUAUGGAGGAGUGCCGCAGGUGUACCUGCAGGAGCCGCAGGUUAGCCUGCGGCUAACCGUGUCUAUGUAUAGGCGGCUGAUUGCUUUCAUAAGUCAUUUUCAAGUUACGCGGUGAAGGAAAUCUGAGAGCUCUUCUUCAGAUCUACUGAGUUUGGGCAACUUUCUGCAUAUUCUGCCACCGUACAAGCGUUCUUCACUGUCCUGGUAACACAUGCAAGUAUUUUUUCCAAUUUCUGUCCGUUGGAAAAUGACUUAUCGCAUGAAAUGCAUUUAGACACAUAGUAGUGAAUAUGCAUGCUGAUAUGACUUGAUAAAACAUAUUCAACAUAGUAAAUGUUAGUAUUAAACCAUGCUGAACAUAAUGAUGUGAAAAAAUUUGGCUUUUGAAACAGUCAAAUUGGCACCUUUUAUUAUCAUUUCUUAUCCUAUUUGAGGACAAAUGAGUAAAGGUAGAAGAGUAAAAUAAUCCUGGUAAUUAGACUACACUUACGGAUUUUUACUGUGAUAUGAUUAAUGCAUGUAAGAUGUAUACGACUGUGUACAGGUGUGCUAUUGAAUGGCCACCUAGUCAUGCCUAUGUGCAUGUGGAUAGUCCCAUUUACAAAGGGGUUAUGGCAAAAUUUUCCCAAAAUGUAGGUAUUGGGUAGUCAUGCAUUUUUAACUCUACUGUAGAUGUAUGUUAAAAUAAUGCAUGCAUGCAUGUAAUCAUAAAAUGCAUUUUGAAAAAAACUCCAGGUAAGAAAUUACCACACCCUUUAGCAAGAAUGGGGAGAAGCUACCCAGAUGCUAACAGAGGCCUAUCAAAAGAAAUAGCGAGAAAUACAUCAGAAAAAGUCAAGAGUGUUGAUGUCUACAUUAUCGAUACUAUCCACCUGAUGUAACUCCUCCUGAGUCACUGGAUCUCUAUCUACAUGGAUGUUGGGCUGAUACAAGGGAGGAUCUGCGCCGACAAAACCAUAUGGGUCACCUGAGGGACCAGCGCCAGAGCUGGAAGGAUCAAAAGUAUCUACCUCUACAGGAUCUCUGCCCAAAUGCCGAAUGAAAAGAUUUGAUCGGUCCAGCUGCCGAGUCAAUCUAUCAAUCUGUGUCGCAUGAGUCGGAUCUCUGACACAAGCUAGCCAAUCCGUCAUCAUCACGGAUCCUGGAAUUAUAUCCCCCAUAAACUAUGUGGCGUGGGUCUGAGCUCCAAUGGUACGAGGGAUCCACCAAUGCUAGAACAUCUCCUGAGAACAGAGUCCCUCUGACAAUGUAAAACUGUCAAUCCCCAUCAAUGGGAUGUCAAUGACAGGUGACUGCGAAACAGGCCAAUAAUGUCUGGCAGGAGGCAAGAUCUGCAUUCGUAUCUCUCCUGUAGUGUUCCUAAUAGCGCGCUCUCCUAAAUAGAGCUCCCAUCCUCCAUCUGUAAAGAGAGAAAUUCUGCGGGUGGAAAUGACGUACUCAACUCUAGUCGGGUACCCAUCCUCAAAACCAACUCCCAAAUGCUCUCCAGAGUAGGGAAUCCAUGUGAUGACAUUGGCUGUCAAUAGCUCCAGCUGUAGGCGACAAUGAGUGAAACCCUCAGCAACAUGGACCUCCGCCAGUAUGGAACGAUGCCAUCUCCGUCCUCGUGGAUAGGUAUCUAAACCUAACACGCUCACAUGACAUAAACAAGGAAGCCUCUCAUAGGCCCAAAACUGCCAACAUAAAGGCAAACAUCUGCUGUCAGUCAACACUCUUAACCUAUACAUGGGAAAAGAUAAGAGAAAUUCUCACCAGCAGAAAUGGGUAGAAUCCUAACCACGCCUCGGUCAAGCCCUGCGAUCGCAUGUCCAUUCCCCCGAGGAAAUAGGCAAAGGUGUAGGAACCCCAAUCAUACUCUCUUAUACGGUCCACGUGUCGAGUGGCGCUGAUCAAAGCGAAGGACACUGUAGAAGAGUUAUCUUCUAUGAAGCAGCCCCUAAUGAUCAUCAGGAACAAUCGCCGGAGAAUGUGAUCCCUGACUCUCACAUCAUCGAGUAUGGGCUCACUCAACAGCCCGCUCAUAGCAUCUACGCUCAAAGGACCUGUACGAACAGUCCUAUCCUUGAGCGCUUCCGCCGGAACUCCCAACAAGGAUCUGACAGCAGUAGGGGUGAUAUCCGUCGUGCAAGGCACCGACUCCCCUCCAAACUCCACACCUGUGAUAAACCACCAAUCCAUCGGUGUCAUCAUCACCUCACAGUCCAGCAAAUGGAGUAACUGAGUCUGGUGAAACCACCGCUCAGACAAUGCUCUGAGGUAACCCAGGGACAGCGACUGGGUAGAAUGGAGAAGAACCUCCCGAAUCCCCAGCCAUGGACGAUCGCUCUAUAGUCAUCAUGCAAGGCCUGAUACAUAGAGUGGAUGCUAAACCAGUUCCCUCGAGGCUGUGUGAAGCUGGGAACCUAUAUCAAAUACAGAUCAACAUCAGACUCCUUGACUCCUCAUCAAUAAGAAAUAAGGAAGAUUAAAGAUCUAACUUCAUGCCUCGUUUACGUGCAGGUAUACUGAAGGAUGCCUACUCAAGUUACCUAGAAGAUCUGGGUUCACCACUUGAAUACCUGGAAAUUCCCUACGGGGAACACGUACAGCAGGAGCAGGAACCUCGAUCGGUGCAUCCUCCUCCUCGUCCUCAACAUUCGGCAUAUUUUGCCCCAUUUCCCUGUAUUUUAUAGAUGUCAUCUUCGACUGUUAGCCAUAUUGAUCAUACCCCACCAUUUGUGGUGGUAGGUAUGAUAGUAUAUCACCAUCAGACAUGGUGAUCGUAGAUGAUUUACUACAACAUACUAUGACCCUGUUGAUGUUUCAGGUUCCCACAGGAUUUGUAGAGGGCAUGCUAGAGCACUGGGUAUUGGAGAGGCAGGUUUUCCGAUUUGGGACCCAGGAGUUGACUCCUACUUUGGAGGAGUAUGCACGGUUGACGAUGUUGCCGCUGGACAGACCUUACGUGCAUAUGGCUAUUGGAAAUAUGAGCAGACAGUUCAUGACCCUCACCAGAUUGAGACGUAGAGUGGUCUAGGAUGAGAUUACAUCCGACCACGUGAUAUCCCAGCAUUUCUUGUUUGACAGGUUUGGCUCUGAGGAUAGCUAUGUACAGGAUUCCGGGGAUUUCACCACAUCGGAGGACCAUUGGCGUUCAGCCAGAGUAGAUGUACUGCUUCUAUGCGUAUUGUCAUAUGUCUUCAUGCCGCGGUACAUGGAUGAGCUGGAUAUCGGCGUCAUUAUGGCAGUGAGAGCUCUCAGGGAGGGUCAUACCAUUGUACCAAUGAUCAUCGCAGAGACUCUGAGGUCAACUACAUACUGCUGCACUUAUCCGGCAGGAGUAUUUACAAGUAGCUCGGUCAUGCUGUAUUUGUGGUUUAUGUCACACUUGAGACCGAUUGGCACAUUUAGACGGCAGGGGUUUUGUUUCACCCAGGAGAUAGCCAUGUCAUACUCCUUUCAGCCUGCAGAGUGCACAUAUGCUGCAUCGUGGUGAGCUUUCCUGUCAGGGAUUAGGGAUUCGUUUGCCAUAUUGCCGUGUUCAGGGCUUAGCUCACCCUACAACUUCAUUACUCAUGCUCCGGGCAUGGAUUAUCUCCCUUUGGCUAGAUUGUGGGGGAUGAUCACUUACCACUCUUUGCCGUGAUGUGUCAGUUUGACCAGUUUUAAGAUUUUUAUCCGUAUGAGGGGGCAGUGAGUCAGUGCUUCGCUUCACACCAUUUGUCAGCGGAGGACAGAUCCAGGUUGUAUGCCUGUUGGGAUCAGCGAGGGCUGGCUGAGUUUUCUGUCAGUCAUCCAGGUUGUUCUGCAAAGUAUUCCGCAUGGAUGGAGACUGAGACUGCAACGGUUGCGACAGUAUCCACAGUGCAGGGGAUUGAUUCUGACGAUAAGGAGCCUAUAGAGGAGGCUGUUAUUCCCAUCUAUGACUUGACUGCUGGGCUGCCAGCAUUUGUGAUGGAUUGUCCCACCCCGAGUGCCACUGUUACUCAGUAUUCGGCACAUCAUUUAGAGCAGAGCUUACAUCUGAUGACUUAUGAUAGAGAUCAGGCUAGGGCCGCGAUGUUGACAGCUCUCGAUGAGAGAGAUACUUCUCUGUUAGAGAGGGAUGAGGCUAGAUCAGCCAGGGAUGCAUUGAUUGGGGAGUGGGAUGCCGCCUUAUCUGCUAGGGAUGUGGCCAUUGCAGAUAGUACUUCCGUUAGAUCCUAGAUGACUGUCAGUCUUGCCGACAUGAGUGUUUACAUUGAUGAGCACUAUGCCACCAUGCAGUUAGCCUCUGAUCUGCUAGCUCGUGUAGAUACCCUUGGGCAAGAGCUUGCAGUGCUACCUCCGUCUUCAGAGAGGGAUGCUAUGUUAGAUCUGAUAGUCCGCAAACACACAAAUCUGUAGAUAGCUUUGUAUUUUCCUGCACAAACUAGCUUAGCCAUUUUGUCAUGUACAACAAAGAUGUAUAUAUCAAACAGUAUUAUGUAUGGCAGAGAAAUAUAUUUUGAUUCACUUCCCUUUUAGUUAUGCCUUGAUACUUGCAUGAUGUUUGCCUAUUUCUUCAGGGCCUUGUGAUCUUGAUCCAUUCUGAACUUAUCCUUGAUAGAUGGACAUUGAGACGUCGCAAGAUCUCUCAGAACGGAUCAUUGAUUUUUGUAAAUCCCUACCAUCUUUGGUGUCUUGGGACUGGUAUCUAUAUGAAAAAGAGGAGAGGAGGGUAGUUUCUUCCUCUCUGCGAUUGACCGCACCACAGAUGGUCGCCAAUACUUCUAUUUGUGAGAAGCCUAGUUAAUUCCAUCUCUUAUGGGUUAGUAUUUCUCUUUGAGGCAUGAUCGCAGCUUAGAUGGUCACCGAAUCUUCUAUUUGUGAGAAGAGGUUGGAUAAUUCCAUCCCUUUGAUCUGAAACCGAUGAAAUGGGGCAAAUUGAAGGUAGAUCCCAGUACCGUGUGAUAAGUAUGUUGUUCUGGUAGGGGUUAGACUGCACCAUGAAUGGUUGCCUACGUACUCCUAUUGAAGAGGAGAUUAAGUCUGCGUAGUUCGAACCUGGUGUAAGAGGUUCAACGCUGAAUGCGGAAGGAAGAUGGGUGUAGAAGUAUUUUUGUUAUUUUUGUUGUUUUGUAGAGAAAGGGCAAAAAUGUUUUUGUUGUUUUUCUUUGUUGCGACCGGUCCAUAGAGAAUAUGGUUGCCUACGUACCCCCGGGUAUCAGGGAGAUCAGGUCGAUGUAGUUCGCCCCUCAGGACGAAUUGAAGGCGAAGAGAAGUGUGAAUCCCAUGUGCAGGCUAUACUGCGGGGAGAAGAAAGUUUGAUCCCAUAAUGGGGACAAACUGCAGGUGUGAAAAAGUUUGAUCCCGUCCUCAGGAUAAACUGCAAGUGUCGAAAAGUUUAAUCCCAUCUUCAGGAUAAACUACAAGUGUAGAAAGGUUCAAUCCCGUCUUCAGGAUAACCGAAAUUGUGAAAGGUUAAAUCCCAUCUUCAGGAUAACCAAAAUUGUAUGGAAGGUUUGAAAUGAAGUGAUACCAGGUUACUGGUUUGAAGUGUAUGUUUCCCUGAGGGGCAGAAGAGUAUUUAAAAAGGAAAGGGUUCAAAACCAGAAUGACUGAUGAUUUGAUGAUCAAAACUAGGAUGUUUGUUUGAUGGUAACUUCAGACAUAGUACCAUUUCAUGGUGUUUGAGUUGAUAAGCAGUGGAAAUUCAUCGCCAUCCAUUUCCUGCAAUCUGAGGGCACCGCCUGUCAAUACCUCCUUGACAAUAAAUGGGCCUUCCCAGUUAGGAGCGAAUUUUCCCUUAGAUUGAUCUUGGUUGUCAAUGAUCUUCUUCAAAGCCAAGUCAUGUUGUUUGAACUGCCGUAGUCGGACUUUUUUAUUGUAGGAUCGUGCGAUCCUUUGCUGAUAUAACUGACCAUGGAAGAUAGCCGUGGAUCGCCUUUCGUCUAUUAGAGAUAAUUGGUGAUACAUGUCUUGUACCUAUUAGUUUUCAUUCAACUGAGCAUCCAUCAAUACUCUGAGGGAUUCUACUUCCACUUCUAUGGGGAGCACUGCUUCCAUCCCAUAGACUAGUGAGUAGGGGGUUGCCCUAGUGGAAGUUCGCAUGAAAGUUCUAUAGGCUAAUAAAGUCAGAGGUAAGAGGUCAGGCCAUCCUUUGUGAUUGGCGGACAAUUUUUGCAUGAUCUUUUUGAUGUUUUUAUUAGCCGCUUCAACAGCACCAUUCAUCCUUGGACGGUAGAUGACGGAGUUGAGAUGUUUGAUGUGGAAUUUUCUGCAUAACUCCUCCAUCAUUUUGUUAUUGAGGUUCUUAGCAUUGUCUGACACAAUGACCUCUGGUUGUUCAUAUCGACAGAUGACAUUGUUUCUGAUGAAAGCAAUGAUAACUUCUUUAGUAACCCCAGGGAAGGAUGCUGCUUCUACCCAUUUGGUGAAGUAGUCGAUCAUGGUGAAUAUGAAUCGAUGUCCAUUACUGGCUUUGUGCUCGAUGGGCCCGAUCACGUCCAUUCCCCACAUUGAGAAGGGCCAUGGCGAACUCAUAUUGUGGAGUUCCCUUGGAGGGCUGUGGAUAACAUUCCCUUGAAUUUGGCAUUGAUAGCACCUUUUGACGUGAUCAUCACAGUCAGCUUUGAGUGUAAGCCAAUAAUGCCCUGUUCUGAGGAUCUUCUUGACAAGUAGGGGUCCACUCAUCCAUGAGUCUCUGAGCUUGGUCUUUGUCGAGACAUCUGAGGAGACCUAAUCCUGCAUCUCUUUUGUAGAGUACAUCUCCGCUUAGGUAGAAUUUCAUAGCAAGUCGAUGAAUCCGCCUCUUCUCAGUUAGGCUCGCCUCAGCGGGUGUAGAACCAUCUCGUAGAUACUCCUUGACGUGCUGAUACCAAGGGUUGUUGAUGGGAGGUAGCUCAUCCGAUACUUCUCCAACGUAAUUCCCAAAGACUGGGGCUCUUUGCAGAGUAAAUGUGAUGCUUGGCAUGUUUUCCUUGUCAGGUAUAUAAACCAAGGAGGCUAACGUUACUAAUGCAUCUGCAAAAUCAUUCCUAUUACGAGGAAUGUGUAGAAAGGAGAUUUCUUCGAACUCCAAAGCCAUCUAUAAAACUUACCGAUGGUAAGGCAGUAAAUGUAAUUCUUUGGUUUGAUAGAUUCCUGUGGAUUGCUUGAUUACCAAUUCAGAAUCCCCAAAGACAGUUAACCGCCUGAUGCCCAUUGAACGGGCAAGUUUUAUCCCCAUGAUACAGCCUUCAUACUAAGCUAUGUUGUUGGUGCUGACAAACUGCAAUUUGAUGGCGACGGGAUACUUUUCCCCCGUACCAGAUAUUAAAACUAUUCCAGCUCUAGAGCCUUCUGUGUUAACAGAUCCAUCAAAAUAUAUUCUCCAUGUACGGCAUGUAUUGUACUGAUGUCGUUGUUGAAUUGUCAUUACCCCUUCAUCGCGGAAGUACGUUUCCAAGGGUUUGUAGUCCCCUACAGGUGCGGCGGCCAGUUGAUUCGAAAUUCCUUAACCUCUGACAGACUUUUGCAUCACAUAGACGAUGUCAAAUUGCGGUAAGAUCAACUGCCAUCUGGACAGUCGACAAUUCAGUAUGGGCUUUUUGAACAUAUACUUGAGAGGAUCCAUUCAUGAUAUGAGAUGGGUUGUGUGACCAUGGAGGUAAUGCUGUAACCUCAUGGAAGCCCAUGCUAAAGCACAACAAGUCUUCUCAAUCAGAGUGUACUUCCGUUCACUGAUGCUGAAUCUUUUGCUGAGGUAAUAGAUAGCUCGUUCUUGGCCUCUAUUGUCUUUUUGCCCCAGCAUGCAGCCCAUGGCAUUGUCAUUUAUGGACAGGUACAUGAACAGGGGAACAUCAUCCCUGGGAGUUACCAAAAUAGGAGCGUUAAUCAGUUGCUCUUUGAUUGUGAGGAAGGCUUUCUGACACUCAUCGUUCCAUUUCAUGGAGGAGUUCUUCCUUAACAACUUGAAGAUUGGCUCACAGGUUGCUGUGAGUUGAGAAAUGAAUCUGCUAAUGAAGUUGAUCCUUCCAAAAAAUCCCCGUAUUUCCUUCUCUGUCUAAGGAAUGGGCAUUUCCUUGAUGGCCUAGAUUUUGGUAGGAUCCAGUUCAAUCCAUUUGUGGCUGACUAGGAAACCUAGCAACUUGCCUGACUUAACACCAAAGGCGUACUUGGCGGGAUUCAACUUCAAGUUGUACUUACGCAACCUGUUGAAAACCUUUUUGAGAUGGUCUAAGUGGUCAUCCUACUUUCGGGAUUUGACAAUGAUAUCAUCCAUGUAGAUCUCUAUCUCCUUGUUCAUUAAAUCAUGGAAAAGAGCCAUCAUAGCUCGCUGAUAGGUUGCCCCGGCGUUGAUGAGGCCAAAUGACAACCGUCUGUAGCAAAAGGUUCCCCAAGGCCUGAGGAAAGCAGUUUUCUCACGAUCUUCCUCAACGACCAUAAUUUGAUGGUACCCCGCAAAGCAAUCAGCAAAGGAGUACAUGCCGUAUUGAGCAAUAUUAUCAAUAAGAAUGUGGAUAAAGGGCACGGGAAAUCUAUCUUUAAGGCAAGCUUUGUUCAAAUCUCGAUAAUCCACGCAGACUCGCACCUUUCCUCCUAGUUUAGGCACGAGAAUAAUGUUGGAUAUCCACUCCGGAUAUGUAGACACCAUGAUGAUGCCAGCUUGAAAUUGUUUCACAAUUUCUUCUAUAAUCUUUAAACUCCACUCAGGUUUCAAUCGUUUGAGUUUUUGCCUAACUGGCUAGAAUCCUUCUUUUAUGGGAAGGCGAUGAAGAACAAUGUCAGUGGACAAACCCACCAUGUCUUCAUGAGACCAUGUAAAUACAUCCUGAAAUUGGGUUAAUAGUGCAACCAUGUCAUUCCGUUGAUUUGUGGUAAGGUCUAAACCAAUCUGGAUUAGCUUAGGGUUGUCUAAGGUUCCGAGAUUGAAAGGAGUGGUUUGAUCAAGAUUGGGUUUGGGUUUGUCUGUGACCCAUUCCUUAAUCUCUUGAGGUGUCUCAAUGUCCUCUUGUAUAUCCAUCAAGUUUGAGUCCAACUUUGCAUCAAAGUUACAGUCCUUGUGGAGAGAAGGCAUGUCAUCAGCAACGACAGACACAUCUAAAUUCAGAGUCCUGAAACAAAAGAUGCUUUCACUUAAUAUAUGCAACUGUUUGAUUAUACAAAAGUGUUAGCAUGUACUUGAUAAAAUAACUGCUAGUGCUGUAAAGGAAAAUAAGCAAUUAAAGUUUGUAUAGGGCAGAGGGAUUUUCUGCCCAUUUUACCCUCGUCGACCAAUGCAUGGAGUGCUACUCCAAUUGUCGAGGGAAAAGUCUUGAUAGACUGCAGUGAUGGAAUGAUCGUCAUUGUCUUCCUUCUCCCGAAUGAUAAACAUGACAUCUGGGCAAUCAUCGUCUAGGGUGCAUCUGUUUGUAUAUUCAUCAUGAACAAUGACGCGAAUACCUGCCAUCAUCAAGGCAAGGUCAUGUUUACGUUUUUGCUCCUUUUCUUCCGCCUCGGGAUCAGGAAUCAACACCUCUUUUGCUUUGAUUGGCACUGGUUUCGAAAACAACAUAGCCACAACCUGGGCUGGAACCUUUACUAGAGAUUGCAUUAACUCAUGAGGUAAAGGUAUAGAAAAUCGUCGUGCGGCGGAAGCUUGAGGAACCUGCUUGUGCCUAUGAGGAUUCCUGUUAGUGGAACUGGCAGAAUAGCCAAGUCUAGUUGUUCCGAUUUGACUGGACAUUUGGAUAGGGUGCUUAAUACCCUGCUUAUCUUUACCAAGCCCUUGUCUAGGUUGAUGACCCAAUAACAUCAUUUCUUGAGUGGCCGACAUAACCUCGGCAGAAAUCUUGGGUACGGGAAGUGGCGCUCCAAUAUAAUGGUAUUGUGUGUUACUCACUUCUAGAGUAUGGAAACUAGCCGGUUCAAUUUCUGAAUUGAAGCUGAUAAUUGGUAGAGUUCCUUGUUCAGGACAAUCUGGCUCAGCGUUGACAGUGACUAGACUAUUGUUGAUGUAAGGUGGAGGGAACAACUCUAGCCAUGUGUAUCCAUGGUCUCCCCAAAAGCAGGUUGUAUUCUGAUUCUAUCUUGAGGACGUGGAAAGGUACAUUGAAUGUAUUGGGAUCAAUCUCAAUUGACAAUUCAAUCUUUCCAACGGAAUUUUGCCGAGAUCCAUCAAAAGCUCUAAUGACUGUAUGGUUGCUUUGUAUCCGCUUGAGAUUGAUAUUCAUCUUUACCAGGGUGGAAUAAGGAUAGAUAUUUAGAGAUGAGCCUCCAUCUAUCAAUACUCCUGCUAGCAUGUACCCGGAAGAUAAAACUGCAAUAUGCAAAGGCUUGCAAUGACCGGUCCCUUCGGGAGGUAUGUCGUCAUCAGUGAAGGAUAUCACAUUGUUGUUGAAAAUGUGAUCAACCAAAUGAUGAAAUUUUUCUACAUCCACUGAUUUUGGCAAGUGGGCUUCUUCCAAAACCUUCAAUAAGAUCUUCCGAUGAUCCUCUGAAGAGAAAACCAAAUCUAGUAUCGAAAUCUGGUGUGGAGCUUCUCGCAAGCUUAAAACCACUUUGGCUUCAUUGUGGCCCAUAGUACGGAGGAAUUUUUCAAUCUUCUCCACGGGAAACUUCCCCUUUGCUUUGCAAGUAGGUUUGACAACCCAUUGAGGAAGAUACAGUGGAUUUUCCUUCAACACUGUAGCAGUAGUAUGAGACGUGGAUCCUUCAGCUUCUCCAUAAUUCCAUGGAACUUUGUGUAAGCUGACAAUAGGAUGUUAUGGUCUGAAAGGUAAAUGAAUUGGCUCUGAUGCUGCCACUUUCAAAGGAUUGUCAGUUCCUUUGAGUUGAAUUGGUUGUAUGGGAAAUACUUUGACAGUCUCAUCAUCCAAUUCGGAUAUAACUGCUACUUAUCCCUUCCAUUUGGUAGGAUAUGCGUUCCCAUCCUUGAGUUGCAUAGUGUAAUCAUCUGCUAUUUGCAGGACACCGCUAUCAAUAAGAUUCUGAAUAAGAUGGUGUAGUGCCCAGCAUUCUUCUGUGCUGUGACCGCGAGAAUGUGAAUGAUAUUGACACAUUUCAUCAGGAUUGAACCGCCCUGAGCGGGGAUUGAUGGGAGGGAGAAGGAAUGUAAUUCUUCAUUCGUUGAUCAACAUUUGAAGUAUCUCCUCCAUAGAUUGGCCCAAAUAGGUGAAUUCCCUCUGAUUGGCAAAAUCCCGACGGGCUUUAGCAUUUGCUCGCUUUGCAACUUUAUCCUCCAUAACUUCCCUUUCUGAAGGUGUUGAUGGAUCAUUCACAACAAAUGGAAGGAGAUAGGCAUGCUUCUUGAUGAGUGAGUUUUAUACUCAUAAUUGAGUGCGUUUGAGCUUAAUCUUUUGGAUGAUUUUAAGGAUUUGUGUCUAGUCAUGCAUGUUUUAUGUUGUUUUGUAGGAAUUGGGACAAAAGUUACUUGGAUCGACGUUCGGGGUGGCUAGAUUUGCGUUUUCGGCUUGCCAUUUACACAGCAAUCACUUCAGAGCCAAUUUGAUUAUUUCGUUGGACCUUAUUUCGAAACACUUAAAGAAAUAAAGUUGUAGAUCUACUUCUCCUCUUUUCGGAUCAUCUUGAAUCAUCGAAAUCGGAGUUCGGACGAAGAAGUUAUGGCCAUUUUCCCAAAGGACGUCGGAGCAGAAAAUGCCAGAACAUGUGCCAGCGACGGGGCGCCCAUUUUUGGCCUAUGCCCAGCACCGGGGUGCUGGGGAGCAGUGUUUGAGCGUCAAGCCCAGUGCUGGGGUGCUGGGGAAGGGCUUGGUGAUGGCAUGGACGCGUUUUUGACCGAAUUUUGACACCUUUUUGACUCCAAAUUGGAUUGGGUUUGUUCCUAAGCUAAAAAUUAGACUUAUAACCUAUAAAUACAUGAUGUAAGGCAUAAAAUAGAGGGAGAUUACAUAGAUUAGACUAGAUUAAACACUCCAUUAAAUUAGAAUCUAAACCCUAGUUCUUAAUUAGCCAUUGGAGAUUGAAGCAAAUUGAAGAACACUAAAGAUCAAGAGCAAGAGCAAGAGGGGAGCAUCAGAUUUGCUGACAACAGAUUCUAUUCUCUUCUCUUAUCAUACUUUUAUCUUUUAAUGUCUAUUCAGUUGUGGAUUCUUGGUUUUAAUUCAUUAAUUAUGAACUAACUCUUUUAUUAAGAUUUCAAUUGAACCUUUUAUGGCUAUAAAUUAGUUAUUUAAUUUAUUCCAAUUAUUUGUGUCAAAGUGAGUUGUUUAUCUUGCCUUAUGCUUAUUGAUUAAUUAUCUGAUCAGUAAUUACCUUGUUACUCUAGAAGGAAUUGAGAAAGGAAUUCUAGGGUUAGAACUGGGCAUGAUAACAUGUGACUUAGUUAUUUGCACAGUGAAUAAUUAGGUUUGUGAAUAGAAUGAGAAUAUCUAUUUGCCGCAUGUAACACAUAAGGAAUUGGGAUUGUCGUGAGUUUAAUUCAAUUGUUUUUUAUAGGGAUAUAACAAAAUUAACUUGGAUUAAAUAGAAGGUAAAGGAUCACUUGAGAAAGGCUUUUGGCAUUUGAGAAUUCUUCUUAACAAUUCAGUAGACAUAAUAAUUGGAAUAGUUGAAUAAUUGAUUUAUAAUUCAUAAUUGGGGAUAUUGGAGUCUUAAUUCUUAUUUAUCUGAAUUCAUUCAAAUCUUAGUUUUGUUUAUUUGAUUUAUUUUAGAAUAAAUUCUCUUAAUUGUUAAUUUAGUUUUCUUAAUUAGAAAAAUCAUAAUUUACAGUUGUUUAAAUAAAAUUGAUUUGGUUAAGAGUUAGUAUUUGGUAAUUUUUAUUAAAUAAUUUCUCGUGGGAACGAUACUCUACUUUCACUUUAUUUCUUGUUGACCGUGUAUACUUGCACGUAUUCAUUGAUUGCGAAAUCGAUCAAUAAGUUUUUGGCGCCGUUGCCGGGGAAUUAAUUUAAUAAUUAUUUACCAAUAUUAAUUUCAAUCAAAUUAGUCUUAAUUUAAACAUUUUUAUUUUUAUUUUUAAUUCUCUUCCUAUAUUUUUUCUUUUCAGGUACCAUGGAUGACUUUGCGUAUCAAUGGCCAUACACGAACAUGACUCAACCAAGGGAAACAUGGAUUGAUGGACUUAAUACAUUUUCUGCAUUGUCAGCACAGAUUGAG
rnacentral:lncRNA from 1 species